rnacentral:lncRNA from 1 species
GUCCAAAGAUGUUAGAGAAUUGUUGGAAAGAUCCAAAUAUUGCAAACUUUUCUUCCACACCCAAUUUGGUACGGCCCCGCUUAUUUGGUUGUUUGAAAGGUCAAGUUCUUCUAAGCUCUCUUGACUCUUUAGAAAUGCUGGAAACGUACUUAUAUUACAGGAUCUCAAACGCAACGAAAUCAGCAUUGGAAAGGAGGAAUUUGCAUCAUCAAAAGGAAACUGAUUCGGAAUGUCAAUCGCAUUGGAAGAAAGGUCUAAUAUUUCAAGUGUGCUCUUCCACAACCAAUUUGGUACUGCCCCGCUUAUUUGGUUAUUUGAAAGGUCAAGAUAUUCUAAGCUCUCUUGACUCUUUAGAAAUGCUGGAAACGUACUUAUAUUACAAGAUGCCAACAACAAAAAUCUCAGCAUUGGAAAGGAGGAAUUUGCAUCAUCAAAAGGAAACUGAUUUGGAAUGUCAAUCGCAUUGGAAGAAAGGCCUACCAAUAUAAGUGUGCUCUUCCACAACCAAUUUGGAACAAGACCGUGGAUUCGGUUGUUAGAAAGAUCUAGGUGAGUCAACUUGUUUUGGCUUUUGAUGAAUUCAGGAAAUUCAGUAAGGUUGCAUGACCUUAGGUAUAGAGACUCUAAUUGGGGUAAAGUACGGAUUUUGUUGUUGCUUCCAAUUAACAAGCUGAUGUUGGAUAGGUCGAGACGCGUUAAGUUGCUGAGUUGGAGAAACAUGUCAAGCUUUAAUUGGCAAUCACUAAAGCUGUUGUAUCCAAGAGAGAGGGUUUGCAAUGUUGAAAGAGUAAAUAAGGAAGAAGGUAUUGAUCCAGAAAGGUGGUUCCAUGACAAAUCAAGAGAUGCAAGAUUUGGAACUCCAGAUCUAUGAAAUGGAGGGAUUGAACCAUUGAAAUUGUUAUCACUUAGAUCCAAUUCCACAAGGUUACUGAGAUUUGCAAUUGAUGCUGGAAUGGAUCCAGAAAAAUUAGUAUAUUGCAAUGACAACACCUCUAAAGUGUUGUUAAUUGGAAAUUCUGGCAAUUGGCCCAUGAGACGAAAGUUGUAUGAAAUAUCAAUUCUUUGCAUUUUGGGCAAUAAGAAAAAUUCUGCUGGAAAAUGCCCACUCAAAUUGCAAUCUACUAAACGAAGAGAAACCAAUGGAGAGGAAAUUUUCGAGAACUUGGGAGGCAAAUAAGAGAUUGGGUUAGAAUCAAGGUUAAGUUUAGAAAGAUAACGAAGGUUUAAGAGUGAUGAACAAAAUGGACCGGUCAAACCACAGCCUGACAUGCUUAAAACACUCAGCUUGGGAAGUGACAACGAUGUGGUUUCACACCAUUCACUACUUUGACUUGAAAUAUUCACUCCAUCCAAAUACAACUCUCUGAGAGACCUCAUGUUCUUUAUGAAUGUCUUGAAGUUUGGUUUCUCUAGUUUCAAAGUAGGGUCAAAUGAAGCAAAACUUUGAUCAUUUCUCCAAUAGCAAUCAUCUUGAUAAGAUAGGUUAAGAGAGACUAACCUUGUUAAGUAUAAAAUCCCUACCGGAAUUUGGUCAUGAAAACAUGAGGCCGAGAGGUUGAGAUGAGUUAAAUUUGGGAGUUUUCCAAACCCAUACUGAAACAAAGUGGUAUUAAAAUUGUUUCCAGCAAGAUUAAGGCGUUGGAGAUGAUGGAGAUUGAAAAUGGAGUGAAAGCUGCCUGAAAGGUUUUGGUAACUGAGAUCAAUCCCAAUGACAUGACCAAGAGCAUCACAUGUAACUCCUUUCCAAGAGCAACAACGGGUAUUGGGAUCCCAGAGGUCAAGUUUGGAAGAGAAAGUGAAGUUUGGGGCAUAGUAGAGAUGAUGCUGCAAUUGUAGCAAAGUAGACCUCUGGUCAUCAAGGCAGUGGUUUUGGAGAUUAGAAUGAGAAGAUGGGUGAAGGGAAGUGGAGAAGGAGAAGAGGAAAAACAGUGACAUUAGGAUACCAAGAUUCUCCAUGUUUGGUCUUAGAUUGUGUGGAGAUUCGGAAUUUGAUAUGCACCACAUUUAUAGAAAACAACUUCACAUUACAUACUAUUAAGCUUCAUCUAAGGAUGUUGAUUUCAAAUUAAGUGAAGCAUUUUUGUUUAACUUUAAGAAUGAUGCAAGUAAGUUUUCAAUAUUCUGCCCCACAGUUUAGUCGUCAAAAAUAAGAAUCUUAUUAGUUGCAUCAUUAAUUAAUAAACAAAAUUAUAACACUAAUAUUUAUGGUUAUAUUAAAAUAAAAAUUAUUAGUUGCUAAUGGCAAGGUAUGGGAUUUACAUAUUUGGUAGUAAAAAUAUAAAAUAAAAUUAAAUUUGGAUGGAGGCUUCUUAGCUUGGUGAUUUAUGCUUGAUUUGACUCACACUAAGAAAAAUAUAGAUUUUAUAUUGAGAUUUGUUGUAAGAUGUGGUUCUCAAACUCAUCAAUUAGUUUUUAGGGUGUGCAUUCUUUAAAGUUGAUAUCAAAAUUAGAAUGUAUAAAAUGGGCAAAGACUUUUGAACCUCAACCACUAGUGCAUAGUAUGGUGGACUGAUAUGUGACUAAUUAUAAGGUUUGAAUCACAUAAAAUUUUCUUAUCAAAGUGUGGGGUUUAUACAAACCUAAACUUUUCAACCCCAACAACUAACUUUUUUGUGUGAUUAUUAACAAUUUUUUUUACUAUUUUUAUUUUUUACAUUAUAUAUUUAAAAAUUAUAAUUUUUUAGUAAAAGAGAAAAUAAUAAAAAAUUAUAAAAAAAAUUAAUUUGGGAAUAGUUCUGUUUAAGUCGGGAUGAGUAUUCAAGUAAAGUUCUCCAAAUGUCUAUUUUAGAAUUCAAACAUAAUUUUCUUUUUCUAAUUUCACCAAAAAGAAUAAAUCUAAAUUUGAAAGUUCAAAGCUUUUGCGUUAAAUUGAAUUUACAAAUAUAACAAAAAUGCUUCCAUUCAACAUCUAUUAAAUUUAAAGAGUAUAGUGUAUAAUCAUUUUUAUUUAGUAGGUUUUAAAAUCAAUUUCUAAAUUUAUCGUUCAUCCACCAAUAUAUCGUAUCAUUAGCAGUUCUUUUGCAAUGUUCAAUGGUUUAUUCACAACGUGGUAUAAAAUUAGAAGAGUUUUAGAAAACUUCUAUCGUAGUGUGUAAUAACAUGAUAAUACCUUUUUUUCUGUUAAAUUAAAAUAGCAUUACAUUCAUAAAUAUUUACAGGACUCAAUUUAAAGAAUAUGAUAUUAGCAAUAAUGUAAUCAUUUUUAGGCUUUAAAACUCAAUUUCUUUACAAAUCAUUAAUGUAAUUUGUUAACCUUGCACAAAAGCAAGUGUUAUCCCAAUGCCAUAUAAAAGUCAUCAAAAGGGGACAUACCUUUUUCUUUUAUGAUGUGAUUGUAUUUUCUAAGUCUUAGUCUAUGCUGCAUACUUUUGCUUAUUGCAAACCUUUUGCCCCAUUCUUACUUCAUAGAAAUAAAAUCUAAAAAUUUAUUGACUAAAUAAUUAACGUAUUUUCAAUCAUUUAUUGCAGUGAAUUAAUACAUUAUUUAAUUAUAAUAUUUAGAUGAACAUAUAAAUAAAAUUAUUACAAAUUUGCAUGUAAUUAUUAUUAAAAAUAUUUAUAAAAUAAUGAUCAAUACAUUAGAAUUAAGGUAAAUAAUUAUUUAAAUAAACAAUAAAUAGUUACAUUAAUAAAAUUUUAAAAUAUAUUAUUAUAAAAAUCAUUUUAUUAAUAAAAUUAUAAUUUUUUAUAUUUUUAAUUAUUUAUAAAAAUGAAAAAAAUUUAAAACUUCUAUUAUAUACUAUUUUCAAUCUAAUAUAUUUAGUACUCAUUUUUCAUUUUUUACCUUAUUGUUACAGUUACACUUGAAUCCAAACACAUAUUUCAUUACUGAUUUUAAUCUUAUAAUUACAAUACUCAAUUUCACUGCUACAGUAUUUAAUCUCAUCUCCACCUAUAUUUUCAAUCUCGUAGAACUGUUUUCACUACUCAUCCAAAAAGACGACAUCACAAGGUUUUAUAAUAAAAUAUAUUUUUAAUAAUUUCUGCAUUCAACCUUUUUUUUAUAAUAAUUAUUCAGAGAUGGCAGCAACAAGGUUUGAUAUUGAUAAGUUCGACGACAUCACAAAUUUCAAUAUAUGGCAAGUUCGGAUGACGAUAAUUUUGAUUUAGGGCGAUCUUGAGAAGGUCCCUACAGAGAAGCUUGCUAACAUGGAUAAAUCAAAAUAGGACAGGUUAGAUAAAAAAGCACUAUCCAAGAUUCAAUUAUAUCUAGCAAAUAAUAUGUUACAGGAGGUUUUGAUGGAGAAAACGUGUCACAUCUCAAAAAAAUAGGGGUUAGUAGAAUAAGGAUUUGUGAAAUCGAGAGUGGUCACGCCCUAAUUUAUAAAGGUUAUCUUUGUGCAUUUGAAACUAAAUUAGUUAUUGGUCUAAUGGUUAAGUGUCAGUAAAUUUCACUAGAUAUCCAAGAUUGAAUCCUUUCCCUCGUAUCAGAUCUAUUUAGUGCAAUUUUGCUCAAAACCCUAGUAAGUGUCAAGCCUCAUUUUAAGAAUAAAUAUUGUGAGAGGUUAAACAAAAUUCAGUAUUUGCCCUGAUGAUUAAGUAGUGUAGCUAUCCCUAAAGAUCCUAGGUUUGAGCUUCCUUCCUCCCAUUUUAUUAUUUUGGGAAUUUGGCAAGUCUCUUGAAAAAAAAAACAUAUACAUUUAAUUGUCUAAUUUAGGGAAGAAAUGAGCCAAAGGCUCAAUGGUUAAAGCGCUAGAGACCCACCAGAUCCAAAAUCGAGCCCCUUCUUGGUCUAUGAUUCAUACUUUUCUUUGCUUAUUGCAAACAUUUUGCCCCAUUCUUACUUCACAAAAAAAAAAUCUAAAAUUUGAUCCCACCAUUUAGUUUUUUCAAUCAUUAACUCUAGCAAAUUUUGGGCAAAUACAUUAUUACAAAUAUUUAUAUGAACAUAUAAAUAACAUUAUUACAAAUUUAUAUGUUAAAUAUUAUUAAAAAUAUUUAUAAAAUUAUGAUCAACACAUUAAGGUAAAUAAUUAUUUAUAAUAUAAAUAUAAAUAUUAUACCAAUAUGUUAAAAUAUUUAUAAAACAAAGUUUGCUUGCAUAUUCAUUUUAUUUAGUUUUAAAUAUGUUGGGAUCGAUCCGAUUAAGCAACGAACAAGUAAAAAAUAGCGAAAAAAAUUGAGAAAUUGAACACACAAAUUUAACGUAGAAAAAUCCCUCCAAAGAGGAUAAAAAACCACGAGAAAAGAUAAUUUUACUAUAGUGACAAAAGAACGAAGAGUACAAAAGAUGGAUAUAAAAACUAAACCCUGAAAACCUAAAAACAAAGAACCCCCAAAACGUAAACACAAAAUUCUCUAAAUGUGUUAUGAGUUAUAAUCUCUAAUGGGUGUAUUUUCUAAGGUUGUAAGAGAGCCUAUUUAUAGGCUAAAUUCAUAGGUCAAAUAAUAAUAAAAUAAAUGAGACUAAUCAGAGCUUGAUUGAAACAAAUAAAUAGAGUUUAACUAGAAGAUUAUUUCUCAAAUUUGAUAGAAAUAUGAGUCAUACAUAACAAAUCUCCACCUUGACUCAUAUUUCCACAAUGUCAUCUUUCCCAAAGCCCACCACAGGCCUAUCUUGAACUAUGCAGAGAAUUAACUGAGUCGAAUCUGUGUUUAGAAACUAGAAGACUUUUAGCUUUCGACUUGUACACUGCCAAAUCAAAACUAACCGGGUCUGAUUUUCACGAACACAGUGCCCUAACUUUUCAAAACUUGCAUCCAAAAGAGAAUCUCUCUUCAACGAAACGGUUAUACCGUUUUCCCCCUAUGACCAAGUUGCCUCCGCUCCAAAUGAGUUAACUUUCUCCGUAACGGACGAGAGACGUCUGAUUUCACCGAUCAUUUAAAACCUUCUAAAAUCUAAAGACUGUCGGUUCUUUUACCUUUUAACAAAAUGAGAGCUCCAAGAGAUAUUUUAAUGCAACUCUACUCAAUGUUGAUUCUGCAUCCUUUCAAGUCUAAAAUACUCAAGGAGAUGAAAUUCUUUCGUAAAUCAAGUACAUACCUGACAUUUGAGAGUGUCCUAAUCGUUCCAUCAUGCAUCCUUAUUUUAACAGUAUAAAUGCCAAUACGAAUUACCUUACUGGAUGAAUCGUUUCCCAUGCGUACAACUCCCCCUUCAACCGAACUGUAUGUGGAGAACCAUUCUCUAUUGGGACAUAUGUGGAAAGAACAUCCUGAAUCUAGGAUCCACUCAGACAUAAGCUUGGAGUUAUCGCUCGGUGACACUAAUAAGAAAUCAUCAUUGCUUUCAUUGGCCAAAUUAGCACCAGCUACAUCUUCCUCGUUACUCUCAACAGCUCUUUUAUUUUGCAGUUUAUAACAAUCUGUUUUGACGUGACCUAACUUUUUACAAUAGCGACACAUUUUAUCUCGCUUCUUUGAUGCUACCAAAACGGAAGCUUGUCUAUUUUCCUUGCUAUCCAAACAAAACUCAUUAUCGAGUUUGUCUCUACUCAAAAAAUAAACCUUCACAUCUUCGAAUGAGAGUUUGUCUCUACCAUAAAUCAGGGUCUCCCUAAAAGACUUGUAUGAAUGGGGUAAAAAGCACAAUAAUAGCAUAGCCUGAUCUUCGUCAUCAAUAUGAAUCUCAAUGUUCUUUAAAUCAUUUAAAAGAGUAAUGGAUUAACUGAUAUGAUCUCUAAGAAGCUCACAUUCAUUCAUGUGAAACGUAAAUAGACAUUGUCUCAACACUAAACGGUUAGCCAGAGACUUAGUCGCAUAAAGAGUUUCUAACCUUUUCCACAAGGCAAAUGAGGUAUUCUCCAUCAAUACCUCCUGCAAUAUCGUAUUCAUGAGGCACAACUGGAUUGCAGACAAGGCCUUUUCAUGAAGCUCUUCCCAUUCUGUUGAUUUAGAUUCUCAGGCUUUUUCUUGGUAACAACCUUUUUCAGGCUGGUUUGAACUAGAAUUGUCAUCAUCUAAACUUGUCACAGAUUGAAAUUUGUGACUCCAUCGAACUUCUUAAUUUUAAACCUUGUUGCUGCCAUCUUUAAACGGGCUGAUCUACGAAAAUUGAACUAACUCUGAUACCACUUGUUGGGAUCGACUCGAUUAAGCAACGAGCAAGUAAAAAAUAGCGGAAGAAAUUGAGAAAUUGAACACACAAAUUUAACGUGGAAAAAUCCCUCCAAAAAGGAUAAAAAAACCACGGGCAAAAAUAAUUUUACAAUAAUGGUAAAAGAACGAAGAGUACAAAAGAUGGAAAUAAUAAUUAAAUCCCAAAAACUCAAAAACAAAGAACCCCCAAAACGUAAACACAAAAUUCUCCAAAUGUGUUAUAAGUUCUAAUCUCUAAUGGAUAUAUUUUCUAAGGUUAUAAAAGAGCUUAUUUAUAGGCUAAAUUUAUAGCUCAAAUAAUAAUAAAAUAUAGACUAAUCAGAGUUUGAUUAAAACAAAUAAACAGAGUUCAACUGGAAUAUUAUUUCUUAAAUCUGAUUGAAAUAGGAGUCAUACUUAACAAAAUAUGUCAAAGGUUUUUGUACUCUUUAAAAUUUAAAAUUUAAAAUUUAAUCUCUAUACUUUGAUUUUGAGAUAUUGAAUCCUUGAACUUUUUAUGUAAAAAUCUUAAUCCCUCCAUCCAAUUUUGUUAUUAAAAUUAUUGAUGUAGCAAAAAUAAAAAAUGUAAAAUAACUUUUUUAGCCCUCAAUGGUUAUAGUUUUAUCAAUUUGGUCCUUUUUCUUUAGUAAAAAACUAAUUUUUAGUAAAAUUACAUGCAUAACUAAUUAUAAAAAAAAAUUAAUUUUUUUUGGUUUUCUGUAUAAAAAAUUAUAUUUUUUUUAGUAAAAGAGAAAAUAAUAAAGAUUUAUAAAAAAACCUUUAAAAUCUAAAUCUUAAAAGAUCCCAAAUGUCCUCUUUUUGGAAGAAAAAAAAUCAAAUGUAAAUCUAAAUUAUAUAUAUAGUAAAUAAGUAAAUAGACUCAAGAUUAUGCUUAGGAAAAUUUCAAUUAUUAAUUUAUUUUGUUUGUAAAUCUUUUAUAAUUUUUUAAAAAAAAUCGCAUCUGGGAUGAAUCUAGACAAAUGGUUAUUCUGAUUCAUUUAAUCCUGAACAUGAAUUUUCAUAAAAAAUAUAAAAACAUAAAGAAUUAUUUUAAAAUGAUUAAGAAUUAUAAGAAAUUCUUAAAAUUUGAAAAACAUCUAGAAAGACUUUGAACAAAUGGUUCUUUAGGCUCAUUUGGACCUAGACAAUUGUUUGUCCAGGUUCAUUGUAGAAGUUGUUUUUAAUAACUUUUAAUAAUUUUUAAAAUAUAUAAUUUUGUAUAAAUUUUAACAAUUUUUAAAUAAAUUUGUAUAAUGUUUUUUUAUAACUAUUUAAAAAAUCAUGUCCAAGAUGAACUUGCAUAAUCAUUUGUCUAGAUUCAUAUUUGAUGGAUAUUUUAAAUAAUUAUUAAAAAAUAUUUAUUUUUAAGUUUUUUUUUUAUUUUUAGAAAAUAGACUGUAUUACUUGAGUGGAGAAUAACUAUAUAUGAAGAAUUUGCGUAAAGCCAACCUGUCUAAGUGUGAGGCAUGCAAAGUAUAGUGGAUUGAUAUGUGUCUAAUUAGUAAAAAUGGAAUUUCAAUCACAUAAAAUGAAGUGUGGGGUUUAUAACCAGACAUUUCAACCUAACUUAUUGUGUGGUUAUUAAAAAAUAAUAAUAAAAAUAUCAAUUCAACCCAAACAAUACGUCUAAAUUAAAGGUCAAUAAUCAAUUCAACACAAUUUGUACUUGUAAAUUAAAAUGGAAAAGAAAAAUUGUAAAUUUCAUAACUUGUCAAAGAGGGAUUGAACGUACAUAUGCGUGGAAAUUUUGAUAACAUUCAUGAUACACGAGAUAUAAGACAAUCACGAAAGAAGAAAAAAACCAAAAACUUUCUAAAUAUGAAUUUUCAAACUUCAUUCAUCGUAAUUAGAAUAAUGUAGAUGAAUGUCGCAAAGGACUUCAUUUUCAUUGAGAAAAUGUUUUCCCAUUCCAAAAGAUUUUUUCCUUCUCAAAAUUAAUUCGUAAAGCAAUGAGUUAAAAGAAUAAAUUGCUAUUAUUGGUAAAUUGUUUACAAGGAAUAUGUAGUGAAUGAUCAAACUUUUAAGGUUUUUUAACACAAUUUGAAAAGAAAAAUAAAAUUUGUCACGCCUCAGGAGUUAAUUGAAAUAAGUAGUCAAUAAAUAAUCUAUAGGCUUAAUGGUUAAGUAGCUAGUCUAUUCCCUAGACCUUUUAGGUUCAAGUCACACUUCUCCCAUUUCAUUUCUUUUUAAUUUCGGCAAACUAGGUGGGCAUUAAAAUCUUCCCCUAAGUGACCAAUGUUUGAAUCUCACUCUUCUCCCUUUCGUUUUUUUUUUGUUUCGGCCCAAAAUUUUGGGUUAUUUACCUUGCUGCCCCUAAGGUUUGAAACCCUAACUAUUAAACCAUUCUAUUCCUAUUAGAAUUAAGUUUGCUUUUGUUCAAAUUUUAGUCAAAAAUUCCUUCCUAUCCUCUCUUUAUAUUUCUUCAAUUUAUUUUAUUCCCUUUUCCUCUACAUCAUAUUUUCCAUCUAAAUUUUUAAAAUUAUUUUGCUUUCUCAAAUUAAACCGUUUACAGUUUUAAUGUUUUUCUAUCGGUUUGUAAUUAGCAUCAAUAGCAACCCCUAGCUUUGUAACGCCCUGAUUUUUUUAUUUUUUAUUUUUGUAAAUUUUAUCAGACAUGAGUGUUUCUUAUCAGUUGUGAACUUUGAUUAGGAGAAUGAGGUCUUGGGUUCGAGACUUGUGGGGGAGGGGGGUAUAUCUAUUUUUGUUUCCACGUGGGUUGUUGGUGUAGUAGUAGUGGGGUCAUGUUGGGAUUCUGCUUUGUGGGAGGUGGUUAGUAGUGGGAUGCUAAUUUGUCUUUUUCCUUCCACUAUUUUUUUUUCAAGUCUCUCAUUUUUUUUAAAAUUUUUCUCAUUAUUUUUUUACGUGAAUUUUCUCUCUUCUUCCACUGUCUAUUGACUUUUAUUUCAAAAUUUAUUUUCAACACUUAAUUGUGAAAUCUUAUUCCUUGUAGCGACGUAAAAUUUUUUGCUUUGGUCGCUAGUUGAGGCAAUUAUUUAAAAAUUUGAAAAUGAAAUUUCGGUUUAAAAAAAAAAGGAGAUGUCACCGAUCUUUUUUUCUUAAGUGUGAUCGGACACCUAAUAAAUCCUCCUUUUUUAAAAGAAAAAUUAUUUUUUUAAACAAAAAGAAGGCCGAGUUUAGGUCUACAUCAAAAGCCAGAGAAAAAAUAGGAUUUGGGAGUCGGUUACACACGAGGAAGAUAUUAGCACCCUCGCGACGCCCAAAAUUGGUAUCUCGUUAAACAUGUGUUGUCUUAAUUUUCAAAAAUGCGAAUUCAAUGUAACAUUUAAUCAUGAUCUGAUCAAAACACGAGAAUUUUUAUAAUAUCGAUUUCUUUUGAGAAGGACGUUCCGUUUUUAACACAAGCCGAUUGAUAUUCACCCAACAUAGCGAUGAAAUCGACGACUUAAUGUUAAAUCGGUGCGUUGCCUUAUUUAUUGAAAUAAAAAAAUGAAUGAAAAUAUUUUUAAAUAAAAAUAAAGAGAAAACUAAUAUCGAUGUUGAAAUAAGAUGUGAUCUAAUAGGCUAAAUUCGGAACAGGCAAAUAAUAAUAAAAAGUUAAGAAUAUACGAAGCAAAUAAUAUAUAAAACAUUAAAAAUAUAUAUGUGAUAAUAAUAGUCAUAAAACAAUAGUAGUGCAUAUGGUAUUAAACAUGAUAAUAAUAGUAAUAAUGCAAAUAUGAAAUAGUAGUGAACAUAUAUAUAUAUAAAACAUAUAAUACUAGAUUAAAAAUAUAUACAAUAUAUAUUGAAAACAGUAAUAAUAUAAAAAAUAACUAAUAAUAACGAUAUAUAAAUAUAUAAAUAUAUGUAUUAAAAUAUAUACAUAUAAUAGGAAUAAAAAGUAUAUACAUAGUAUUAAAAAUAUGUACAUAAUAUAGCGUUCAAAAUACAUACAUAAUAUAGUUAUUAAAAAUAAAUACAUAAGAUAAUAUGUAAAAAAAAUAUAUAUAAAUAAUAUAGUAUUAAAAAAUAUAGUAUUUAAAAGAUAUAUAUACGUAAUAUAUAUAAAAAAUGUAUACAUAAUAUAGUAUUAAAAUAUUUACAUAAUAUAUACAUAUUAGAAAUAAUAAUAAUGUUAAAAACAACUAUUAAUAAUACUACAUAAAUAUAUACAUAUAUAUUAAAGAUAUAUACAUAUAUAAUAAAACAUAUAAUAAUAUUAAUAAUAAUAAUAAGAAUAAUAUAAAUAAUAGUAAAUAUAAUAAUAUUAAAUAAUAUUAAAAGUAAUUAAUUUAAUAAUAAAGAAAUGAAAAUAAACCAAAAAGGACUAAAAUUGAAUGAACGACAGAAUUCUGGGGCAGAUUUAAAAAGAAAUAAAGAGAAAAGGGCUUAUUUGAACAAGCACAAAAUGGCAGAGGACCAAAAGCGCAAUAUUCCCAAGCCUUUAAAACUACGUCACAUUAACGAGGAUUCAUUUGAAUUCCAAACACAAUUAUGGGGCUGAUUUUAAAAAUGCAGAAACUUAAUUGCAAAACAUAGAAAAAGCGGAAGGGCCAUUUGCGCAAUUAGACCAUUAUACAAAAACACGCGGAUCUUGAGUUUGGAGCGGGUCGGGUCGCUUGGGUCAGCUCAAAACGACGUCGUUUUGGGGUUAAAGGGCAACCCCCAAAACCCCAAAACGACGUUGUUUUGGGAGGCUAUAAAAGGCUUUUUUCUUCAAAAAAAAUCAUUUUUGCAAAGUGAAAGGAAGAAAAAAAAAGGGAAAGGGAGGGGUUUUCUCUCUGGACUAUGUCCAAAAGCCGGCCAGGAGAGCCACCGUGCGCCGCCGCAGCUCCGUCGCCGCCAACCACCGCACACAGUUGCCGAAAGUUCAAAAGGUAUAUAUAUAUUUACUUUCUUUUAUUUUAUUAUUAUUUUUUGCUUAAUAAUAUAUAUACUUUUUGAUAGAUAAAGAUAUAUACUAAAAAAGAUUUAAAAUAAAUAGAGAAAAACGAUGAAAUCACCUUCGGACUGUAAAUGCUUCUUUAGGUAAACGAUGGGUAAGAGCCAAUUUUUGUUGAUAAUAUAUCUGAAAAAGGGUAAUAAUGGGCUUUUAAAACUUUUGCUAAAAGACAAUUAGGCUGGGAUAAAAGACGCCAAACCUGUUUUGCUAAUAAGGUUUUAUUAAACAAAACUAGAUUUUUAAAACCCAGCCCACCAACACUUUUCUGUUUGCACAAAGCAUCCCAAUUACUCCAAUGAAUGCCCUUAAGUGAUUUGUUAUUGGACCACCAAAACCUAUUCAUUACGCCUUCAAGUUUUCGACAUAACGUUUUCAGUAGAGCAAAACAUUGCAUAAUGAAAACUGGUUUACUUUGUAAAACUGACUUAACAAAAACUUCCUUUCCUCCCAUAGAUAAGUAAUGCAAACUCCAACCUUCAAUUCGUUUUCUAAACCGGUCGACAAAAUUGGCAAAAGCCCACUUCUUUUUCCGUCCUACCAUCAUAGGCAUCCCUAAAUACUUUUCCGGAUUGGAAGCCACCCAAACACCCAGUAAAUUAGUAAUAGAUUCUUUGACAUUUGUAUCCAUUAGCCCCAAAAUAGAUGAGUGAUUUAUCAAAAUUCACCCUCUGACCCGAAACCAUCUCAUACUCCCGAACAGUAUCUCGAACCACCAUAGCUCCCUCGUUUGAUGCGUCUCCAAAUAGAAUACAAUCAUCCGCAAAAAACAAAUGAUUAAUUGACAAUCUUUCUCUUCCAAUAGGGGCACCCCUCAUCAGGCCUUUAUUUUUUACUUCAUUAAGUAGCGUAGAAAAACCCUCCGCAAAGAUCAAAAAGAGAUAAGGGCUGAGAGGGUCUCCCUGUCUUAAGCCUCUUGAAGAUGAAAACCACUCACUGUUUGAUCCAUUAAGCCUCACAGAAUAGGAAACAGAACAAACACAUCACAUUAUGAGAACAAUCCAAUCCUCGUGAAAACCCAAAUGCAUCAUCAUUCCAGCUAAAAAAUCCCAUUCAACUCAAUCGUACGCUUUAUUCAUAUCGAGUUUAAGCGCAAAGUGUCCUUUUUUCCUUUCUUUUUCAUCUUCAGUGAAUGAAGGACCUCAUAAGCAAUCAGCACAUUAUCCGAUAUAUGUCUUCCUGGGAUGAAAGCCCAUUGGGCUUCAUUAAUACAAUUUCCCAAUACUGCAUUCAUAUGAUUCACCAAGACUUUCGCGAUAAUUUUGUAAACUACGUUACACAGACUUAUGGGUCUAAAUUGUGAAAGGUUUUUUAGAUUUUUGACUUUAGGAAUCAAAAUAAUACGUGUUUUAUUAAUCUCGCCUACUUCAGUUUAUCCAUUCAAAAUAGACAAAAAGUAGCUAAUAAUGUCAGGACCAAGAAUAUGCCAGUACCUUUGAAAAAAGAUUGCUGGGAAUCCAUCAAUUUCGGGGGCUUUCAAAGGCUCCAUCAAUUUGACAGCUUGAGUAAUAUCCUCCUUAGUAAAAUUCUGUAGCAGCUUCUCAUUCAUAUCUGCAGUAAUUCUUUUUUCAACUAACUCAAAUAGGCGUUCAUUUGUACCUGUUUCUGAAGUCGAAAAAAGAUUACCAAAAAAAUCCAAAGUAAGCUUCAGCAUCUCAUCAUUCGUGGUAGUCUUUGUGCCGUUCUCCCCUUCCAAGUCCUUAAUUUGUCCACGAAUUUGUCGUUGAACAGCUACUUUAUGGAAAUAACUAGUGUUUCUAUUUCCACUUUUCAACCAAUUGACGCGAGCUCAUUGCUCCCAAAAAAUUUCCUCCUGAUCAGCCUCCAAAUUAAGACCCAUUUGAACAGCUACAGUUUCAGCUAGUAUUUCAUCAGUUGGAUCCCGAGUAUAGAGACUGUUUAGUUGCUCUUCUAAUUCUGCACGGUUCUUCUUUUGCUCCCUACUUCUAGAUUUUUCCUAUCUCUGGAUCUGCUGUCCCAUUCUCUCCAGCCUGUCCAGAACACUUCCUGAAUAAUCAGCCCAAUAUCUCUUAACCUCCUGCUCAAAUGAAUUCUCGAAGCACCACUUGGCCUCAAACCGAAAAAUUUUGUCUUUAUUGCAUAACUCACUCCUUUUUCUUCCCAUUGUAUCCAGUAGUAUAGGACAAUGAUCUGAAAAAGAGUAGCUCAAAUGUUCUAGCUGGUAGCUUGGGUAAAGAUUUACCCAAUUCAAAGAUGCAACUCCCCGAUCCAGCCUCUCUCUUAUGUUUGUAGCUAAAAACCUUCCACGCUCCCACGUAAACCACCUUCCAAUAUAACCUAGAUUGUUAAGUCCACAAUCUUCCAGCGUCAUUCGGAAUUCAUUCAUUUGACGUUUAGCUCUCAGUCGACCCCUUUUUUUUCAAAAGAGUUUGUGAUUUCAUUAAAAUCCCUCAACACAACCCAAGGCAUCAUUUGAUCGUGACUUAGACAUCUAAGUAAAUCUCAAGAUUCAACUCUGCUCCUUUCGUCCGGAUUCCCAUAAAACCCCGUUAAUCUCCAAACUGCAUCACAUUCAUUAUCACACACCUCAACAUCAAUAUGAAAAGAAGAAAAACUUUUGAGUCGGAUCAAAGAAUUUCCUUUCCAGUCCAGAGAUAGUCCUCCUUUUGAGCCCAACGCUCCAAUAUCAAUUCCAUUUUCAAACCCGCAUUUCAAUCUAACUGCUUCAAUUCUUUUAAAACUUAAUUUUGUUUCUAUAAGAAACAAAAUUCGGGAAUUAAUGGCUCUCAACUUAUUUUUGAGCCUCUUAAUAGUUCGUGAUCUCUCCAAAUCAUGAAUGUUCCAACUUAAUAUUUUCAUUGCAUUUGGCUGCUCUGUUCACCAGAGCUAGCCGUUAAAUCAGAAAAGCCUGCUUCAAUAUUAUUACUCACGGUAGUUAAUGAACCAUCCACUACCCUUUGCCCUUUUUUUCCUUCCAAAGUAAUUAAAGGAUCAUUCUCCACCUCCAAUAUCAUAUCUUGGGCCCACUUGGGCCCACUUUUAAAACCACUAUCAUGUAAUUCUUCACUGCCCAGAUUCUGCUAGCUGUCAAUCCCUUUUGAUAAAAUCUUUUGAUUGGAAUUCAAAUGAAUUAAAUUGGGAUUUGAAAAAUAUUUCCACGAAUCCCCCCUUAAAUUGCGCCUAGUGUUAAUCUCCCAAUUACUGCUCUAAUUGAUACUUUCCAUACUUCCAUUAUUCCAUUGCGAUCCAUCAGCUGAACGGAGCCACCUGCUCACCACCAUGUUAUGUUUCCACACCACUGCCCUCAGUGAAAUAUCCCAGCCGAAUACAAUUUUGGCUGGUUCAAUACGAAGUCGAAGAGGGCAAUAACUUUCUCCAUGCCCCAGCUUUCCACAAAUAAAACAAAAUAAGCUCAGUUUUUCAUAUUGAAAACGAGCAUAAACCGUAUUCAAUUUUCCAAUCUGGAUUUUUUUCUUUCUUUUCAACGAAGCAGAUACAUCUAAACAGACCCGAAUACACAUAAAAUUUUUUAAGCUCAAUGUCGGAAUAGAAGAAUCAUAUUCUAAAAAUUUUCCCAAAAAUUCACCAAAUUGCCUGGCUAUUAUUUCAAUCAUCAUUUCUGGGGGCAACUCAUGUAUUUGAAUCCAAAUUUCUGUAAAAUUCAGAACUAUGGCUGACGGAUCUUCUUCACUUUUGACUUGUUACAGGAUAAGCAAAUGGUUAUUGAAAAACCAAGGAAUACCCGUAAGCACUCUUUGCAUAUCAACAUCAUGAAAGAAUUGGAAAAGUUACCGUUUUUCUCCAAGAUCUGAGAUACAUAUCCCUCCUAUGGGAUGCUAUAAAUCAGCCAUUGUGUUACGUAGCAAGGGAAAAUAGACCACACUAUCAGUUAAACAUCUCCCCACCAAACAGAGCUGGUAACUCCUCUCUACUACCGUUGCUUCCUCUUGGAACGCUUCUUCCUCUUUAUCAAUUAAUCGCAAAUUGGCUAUCUCUUCUUCCAUCCGAACUCUCCACGGACCAGAAACAAAAAGGGAAACCAAAGCAAGAAUACGAUUAAAGAAUGUGAAGGAGUUUCAUAUGAAUAAUUUUAAAAUAGAUAAUAUAUAUAUACAUACACAAAAGUGUAAAAUAAAUAAUAUAUAAAAACCUAAAGUAAAUAAUAAUAAUAAAACCAUUUUAAAUAAAUAAAAAGAGUUUAAAAUAAGAUAACAAUUUAAAACAAACAAUAAAACAGUUAUACAUAAAAACAAGUUUAGAAAUAUAUAUAAAGCAAUUCAAAGUAUAUAAUAUAUGAAAUAAUUUAGAAUAAUACAUCUAAAACAAUCUAAAACAAUUUAUUAUAUAAAAUUUAAAAUAAAUAAAACAGUUUAAAAUAAAUGAAAAAAAAUCAAAGAGUCCAAAUUUACAUGAAAAAGGGGUAGAUUGUAAAUAAAAUGAAACUUUAGGGUCCAAUUUCAAAUAAAAUAAAUGCAAGUAUAUAGAAAUGACUAAAUCAAAAUCUAAAUAAAAUUAAAAGGGGAAAUUCAGAUAAAAAAAAGGCAGAGGACGGAUUUGAAACGUGCCUGAAAACUAAGGGACCAAUUGGAAAAAUAUUCCCAACCCUUAUACGCUACGUUUCACCCGUCUGCCUCUUCAAAUGGUCUGAGGAUCAAAUUGAAACAGAGGUAAAAUUACAUAGUCAAAUUUAAAAAUAAAAGGAAAAUAAAAAGGAUUAAAUUAAAAGAAUCAAAAAUGCGGAAGGAUCGCGGGCGUGAAUAGCCCAUUUACCGAAAACACGCGGAUCCCUCUAAGAGGGUCGGGUCGUGCGGGUCAGAGGCCUAAAACGACGUCGUUUUGGCCUCUAAGCUCAAUCACCAAAACGGCGCUGUUUGCUUCUUAUUACUUAAGCCAUUUUUUUUUAAAAUUCAUAUUUGCUGCUCUUUAAAAAAAAAAACUUUUAAACACCUCCUCCUUUAUUUCUUCUCUGCUAGGGUUAGAAAACCAUCAUUGCUGCCGUCGUGACCGCCGUACCAAUGCGAGAAGAUUGGCUCGUUUAGCCCCGUUUUGGAGCACCUCUGAAGGCCCUACCUCCAAAACCCAAAAACGCUGAAGGGAGAAGAUUUUCAGCCUCUUUUGGGCCCUAUUUCGGUGAUGGAGAAGGGCUCUCCGAUGCCAAAACUACGGGGUUCAAGUAAGUUUCCUCCUCUUUUUACAUUUUUUGUUCAAAACAGAUUUACAACAAAAGAUAAAAAGAUAGAAAAUAACAAUGAAAAUAAAAGAACAAAAGGAAAACGAGAUAUGGAAACAAAACUCAACCUUUUGCUUGUUUUUUCUUUUUCGAUUGCUUAAUGUUCGUAAAAAAUUUACAGAGAAGAAGUUUCAGACUUUAUAGCCGAAGAUUACAAGAUCCCUUUUUUGUUUUUUUGCUUAUUGUCUGCUAUUGUGUCUUGUUUUUUUCUUCUUUGUUUCUUGUAUUUUGCGUGUUUAGAUUUGUUUUGCAGGUGGUGUCAAAUGCGAGUGCUGCGGUGGUGGCGUACGGGAGGCUCUGCGCGAGGUGGCCAAUGGUGAGGAGGUGCGGCUUAAGAGGGGGCUAGGGUUUGUUUGCUGAAAAUUUUGAUAGCUAGUGGGCUAGGAUUUGGGCUGGUUUGUUUUGUAUUUUGGGUCUGAAAUGGGUUUUAAAUUGUUGGACCACACAUAUAUUGUAAAUGGACUAAAAAAAUUGGACUUUUUAAUUGUUUAUUUGGGUUUUAUUUUGUUUUAUUGGCCUAGGCCAAAAUUGGCUAUUACAGCCCCUCUUUGCUCAUUGUCAUGUAAUGAGAAUUGAGUAAAGACCUUAAAAGAGCCAAUUUUGCCUAGUCUUAUCGAAUCUUGACUUAUUUGGUGCUUCUGCACUUCGAGUAGACUCAUUCCAUCCCAUUGUAUCUUCAGGGGUAUAGGAAUUAGUGCCUCGAUUCGCCCCAAUUUAAUUUCAAGAAGAAGAGAUUUGUGGCUUUGAUCUACUCCACUGGAACUUCAAAGAGAUAAGACUAGGUAAUUUCAACCUGCUCCAUUGCAUCUUCAGGAAGAUGAGGUUUGCGACUUCAAUCUGCUCCACUGCAAUUUCAGGGAGAUGAGAUUCGCCAUGGUAACUUGAUCCGACCUACUACAACUUCAGAGAUAAGAUUUGCUAUAUUGAGUCUGCUCCACUAUAACUUCAGAGAGAUAAGGCUCUGUAAUCUAUAGCUUUGAUCUACUCUACUGUAACUUCAAAAUUAGAGCUCCUCUAGAGAAAGUCUUCUUCACCACAUAAGGUCCCUCCCAAUUAGGCAUCCAUUUUCCUCUAAAGUCCUUUUGUAUGAGGAGGAUCUUUUUCAAAACAAGGUCUCCUUCAUGGAAUUCUCUAGGGCGAACCUUCUUAUUAUAAGCCCGCAUCAUCCUCUUUUGGUACAUUUGACCACGGCGAAUAGCCUUUAGUCUCUUUUUUUCAAUUAAAUUCAGCUGAUCAUAUCGAGAUUGGAUCCAUUCUGCUUCAUCUAAUUUUAGUUCUGACAGCACUCGUAGCAAGGGAAUCUCAACCUCAAUAGGCAGAACUGCCUCCAUUCCAUAAACUAAAGAGAAAGGCGUUGCCCCGGUAGAGGUUUUAACGGAUGUUUGGUAGGUGUAGAGGGCGAAUGUUAAUUUCUCAUGCCAAUUCUCAUAAGUCUCAGUCAUUUUCCCCACGAUUUUCUUAAUGUUCUUAUUUGCCGCUUCCGCUACACCAUUCAUCUUUGGACGAUAUGGUGACGAGUUAUGGUGUUUGAUCUUGAAUUGGCUACAAACCUCCGCUAUCGUGCUAUUGUUUAAGUUCAGUGCAUUAUCCGAUAUGAUUCUCUCAGGCAUCCCAUAUCGACAUAUGAUUUCUUUCUUUAAGAACUUGCUAACUGCUGACUUUGUGACGUUGGCAUAGGAGGUGUCCUCUACCCAUUUGGUGAAGUAAUCUAUGACCUCAAAGAUGAAUCGAUGUCCAUUAGAUGCUUUCGGCGAGAUCGGCCCUAUGACAUCCAUGCCCUACAUGGAGAAAGGCCACAGAGAAGUCAUGGCAUGAAGAGGUUAAGAAGGUACAUGAAUCUUAUCUCCAUAAAUUUGGCACUUAUGGCACUUUUUUGGCAUAGUUGAUGCAAUUCCCUUCCAUAGUGGACCAAUAAUAUCAGAAUCUCAUGAUUUGUCUAGCCAUUGUGAAACCAUUAGCAUGUAUUCCGCAGACACCUUCAUAGACCUCUUCUAAAAUUUACUUAGCCUCGAAAGCAUCUACACAUCUUAGGAGCACCUGAUCUUUGCUUCUUUCAUAUAGGAUCUCUCCAUCCAAAACAUAGUUACUGGCCAACCUUCUCAAUAUCCUUUUAUCAUUUUCAGUCGCUUGGUCUAGGUAUUCACGAUUCUUCACAUAUCGCAAUAUAUCCUGAUACCAAGGAUGAUCAUCUUUUCCUUCUUCUUCGUCAAUGUUGUACCAAUGAGCUGGAGCCUCGUAAAUACUCAUUUGGAUAGGCUUCAUAUCCUCUUGCUCGUUCAUUUUGAUCAUAAAAGCCAAGGUUGCCAAGGCAUCAGCCAUCUGGUUUUCAUCUCGUGGAAGGUAGCAGAAAGUGAUAUCGUCAAACUCCUCGAUUAACUCAAGAACCAGCCUUCGAUAAUUGAUCAACUUGGGGUCUCUUAUUUCCCCUUCGCCUUUAAGCUGAUAGAUCACUAAUGCAGAAUCUCCGUAUACCUCUAAUACCUUGAUCUUACAUUCUAUGGCUACAUGGAUGCCCAUGAUGCACGCCUCGUAUUCCGCCAUGUUAUUUGUGCAGUCAAAAUCCAAUUUACUAGUAAAGGGAUAAUGAUCGCUGUUUGGGAUACCAAAACUGCCCCGAUUUCGUUACCCACAGUAUUUGAAGCUCCGUCAAAAUUCAGUUUCCAAAUAUGGCCUUCUUGAGAGUCUUCUUCCAUGGUUGCAACAUAUAUUAGAUCCUCAUUCGGGAAAUCAAAGCUCAACGGCUCAUAAUUUUCCAGAGCUCUACUGGCCAAAAAAUCUGCUAUCACACUCCCUUUUACAGCCUUUUGGUUCAUGUAGGCUAUGUCAAACUCAGAAAGUAAAAUUUGCCAACAAGCCAUUCUUCCGUUCAGAGCAUUUGACUCCAUCAUGUAUUUUAGAGGGUCUAGUUUUGAGAUGAGCCAAGUAGUGUGGUACAACAUAUACUGUCUCAGCCUUCAGGUUGUCCAAAUCAAAGCACAGUACAACUUCUCGAUCGAUGAAUAUAUUGUCUCACAUUCAGUGAAUUUCUUGCUGAGAUAGUAUAUCGCUUUUUCUUUUUUUCUUGACUCGUCAUGUUGGCCUAGCGCGCAUCCCAUAGAGUUUUCGAAUACUGCCAAAUAUAGUAUCAGUGGUUUAUCCAGGCAAAGUGGCAUUAGUACUAGAGCAUUGGACAGGUAAUGCUUAACCUUAUCAAAAGUUUUCUGGCACUCCUCAUUCUAUACACCUGGGUUGUGUUUCCUAAGGAAAUGGAAUAUCAGGUCACAUUUCUCCGUUAAUUGUGAAAUGAACCGGGCGAUGUAAUUUAGUCUUUCUAGAAAACCUCAAACUUCUUUUUGAGUACGUGGUGGAGGUAAUUCUUGUAUGGCCCUGACUUUAUCUGGGUCAAUCUCAAUCCCCUUUUCACUGACUACGAAUCCUAACAUUUUCCCUGACUUGGCCCUAAAGGUACACUUUGCAGGAUUGAGUUUUAGUUGGAACUUCCUUAACCUUAAGAAUAGUUUUCUCAAGACUUGCACAUGCUCCUUUUCUGUUAUGGAUUUUGCAAUCAUGUUGUCGAUGUAAACUUCGAUCUCCUUGUGCAUCAUAUCAUGGAACAUAGUUACCAUGGCUCUCUGAUAUGCUACUUCUGCGUUUUUCAGUCCGAAUGGUAUAAUCUUAUAACAAAACGUUCCCCACAUGGUUAGGAAUAUGGUCUUUUUCAUGUCUUCAAGAUGUAUUUUUAUCUGGUUGUAUCCCGAGAAGCCAUCUAUGAAUGAGAAAAUUGAGUAAUCUGUCGUGUUAUCCACUAAUGUAUCAAUGUGAGGCAACGAGAAGUUUUCUUUUGGGCUGGCCUUAUUUAAAUCCUGAUAGUCCACGCACAUUCGUACCUUCCCAUCUUUCUUAGGAAUUGGGACUAUAUUGGCUACCCAUUUUGAGUACUUGACCACUUGUAAGAAACCGGUGUCAAAUUUCUUCUUGACCUCUUCUUUUAUCUUCAAUAAAAUAUCGAGUCUCAUCCUUCGGAGUUUCUGUUGAACAGGUUUGCAUUUUUCCUUUAUGGGGAGACGGUGUACCACAAUAUCAGUAUCUAACCCGGGUAUUUCCUGAUACGACCAUGCGAAGACAUCCUUGAAUUCUUAUAAUAACUUAAUAAGGUCUUGUUUUGUCUCUGCAGUGAUACAAGCUCCAAUCUUAACCUCUUUUCCCUCUCCUAAACUCACAAUUUCUACUGACUCUUUAUGAGGUAGUAUUUGUUUCUCAUCUUGUUCUACUAUCCUUAACAAAUCAGGAAAUAGGUUACAAUUUCGGUCAUCUUCAAAAUCCUGAGAAUCCUCUAUGCGCAUAUCUUGCUCAAAAGGAGACUCUAAGUCAGUAGCAACAUUGUUCAUAUCAUUGAUAUAUGGGAACCUAUUAUAGGGAUGAAAAAAAAUCCAAAGAACAAAAGAAUCUAAGAAUAUUUUAUUUGUGUGGUAUGAUUAUGAAUGAAGUAGAAAAAAAUAAAAGAAUAUUUGCUCAAGAUGAUAUGCAAAAAUGCAUUUUAUUGAAAUAAUGAUAUUUGGACAUAUGCCUAUUUCAGAAAAGGGUUUUUAUUGCCCCUAGGCUUAGAGAAAUAAGCUUAUUUUGAACAUUACUCUGAGUUAAUUCUAAAAGUUACAGGGAUCUCUUCCGCAGUCUAAUUGUUCAAAACAAUUCCAGGGAUAUAAAGGCAGAUUCCAGAUAAAUUCCCUUCUUCGAUUCUUUCUUCAGAUAUGGCGUUAAUGCUCAAACUUCCCAACAUUUCUUCAGCCAUUUUCUUUCUUGUCAUCUCCUGUUUGGGGUGGAUAGUUCCUCCUGACACAAAUGUUCUAGAUAAAUGAGGAAAGGUUAUUGGUUCCCAUUUGACCUCCUCACCGCGUAGACGCGCUUUUCUUCUCUCUUGCUUCUUCUCCAGCUGUUUCUUCUUUUGCCUCAUAUCUGGCUUAAAUCCUAAGCCAAAGUGGUCUCAUUUUUCCUUUAGCACAGUAUCUCGAUCCUUUCCUGAAGGCAUCUUCCAAGUCCUCUCCCUAGCAGGGCUCCUUUCUCGACUGUCAAUUAUAGGCCCAUCUCUGUAGUUUUGGAUAUUUUAAGAGUUGGGAUCUUGUUCACUUCGAUAAUGGAUGUAGCAUUGACAAAUUCUAGUGAUUGAAAGGAAUAUUCUAUUGCCUCAUCGUUUGCACCUAUGUACGGUGCGUAACUGGUAACGGAUGCAAUGAUGUCUUCUUCCGCGUUAUCGUUACCAGUCUACCCUCGGUUAUCAACUUUAACUUCUGGUGUAGUGACGAUGGCACUGCUCCCGUAAAGUGAAUCCACGGCAUCCCCAACAAGCAGUUGUACGAAAGCUUGAUGUCCAUCACCAAUAAGUCCACCUCAUAUGUGUUUGGGCCAAUCAAAAGAGGUAUCUCGAUUCUUCCCAUCACCUUUCUUUUAGUACAGUUGAAUGGUCUCACUAUGUUUUGACAUGUCUUAAUGUGGGAGCUAUCUACUGGCAACCUAUUUAGCGUGGACAAGGGCAGGACAUUCAACUCCGAUUCAUUAUCGAUUAGUACCCCCGGCAAUGUGUAUCCCUUGCAGCGAGUGGUGAUAUGCAAGGCCUUUGUGGAUCCCAUACCCUCCAGUGGUAUUUCAUCGUCAUUAAAGAAAAUAAAAUUAUCGGUGCUGAUGUUAUUGACCAAACGAUUGGGCUUGUUGACAGAGAUAUUAUCUGCAAUAUAUGUUUCAUUUAACACUUUUAUUAAUGCACUGCGGUGUGUCUCUGAGCUCAAGAGCAAGGCUAAUACCGAUAUGUGAGCUGGCUGUUUGUGCAACUGUUUCACAACACUAUACUCAUUGUGCUUCAAGAAUUUUAAGAAUUCCUUAGCCUCCUUUUCAGUUACAGGCUCAUUGACAGGUGAUUCAGGUCUGGUUGUCUUUUCCUUUCUUUGUUCAACAACCACGAAUUUACUUUUAACUGGGUCUACCUUUUUGUUCAAGGUAUAACGCCUUCCACCGCGCGUAUAGAAACCCUCAUCUUGACCUUCCUCUGAAGCGCUAGCCGGGUUCUCCUCUCCCGGGAUCGCCACAUUGUAGUCGUAAUUCCAAGUAACCCUUUUGUUAUCCUUGUAAGGAAAGGAUAUAGGUUUCUGGAUUAUGACUCUUGCACCAUUGGUAUUCCUACUUCAUUAUUCCUUGGCCGCGAAAUGAUCACCACAGGGUGAUUAACCUUUUGGACUCUUUCUGUUGAUCCUUCCUUUGAGGCGCAAACCUCUCUUUCUUCUGCCCCUUUGAUUUCUUCGUAAAAUUCUAUCUCUUUAUUGUCCAUCAGACUUUGCACUAUGGAUCUGAACUCAGCGCAUUCUUGGAUGUCAUGACCCUUCUCGUCAUGAAACUUGCAGUAUUUCGUUACCCCUUUAGGCUUCUCCUCUUAAUGUCUUGUGAUUAAACCUCUAUUGACCAUUUGUUUCCAAACUCAACUCAGUGGAGUUUUUACCUCUGAUACCUCUAUCUUGGUUCUCUUCCCUCCAUUUUUAGUUAUCGCGUUUACUCCUUUGUCUGAAUGACUAGGUAACGAAUUUUCUGCUACAUGAGGUCAUGUGAGAUCAUCGAACUUUACAAUGCCCAUCUUUAUAAAUCUUUCAACUAUUUUUUUGAAAGCAGUGCAGUUCUCAAUCGUAUGUCCUGGGAUUCCUGCAUGGUGUUCGAAUUAAACGUUUGUGUCAUACCACUUAGGGAAUAGAUGUUGCAUGAGUUUUAGGUAAAAUGGGGAUACCACAUGCGCAUCGAACAGAUUCUGGUAAAGCUCCCUAUACGUCAUUGGGAUCGGCGUGAACUGAACUCUUUUCGUGUUAGGCCUUGGGUUAGAAUCUUGUCUUUUGGAGCCCUGAUAGCUAGUGGUCACUGCCCUCGGUUGGCUUACAGUGACUGGCUUGGAAUAACCCUUUUGUAUACGCUCGCAUUGUUCACCUCAUUUUCUUUCCUUCUCGAGGCCAAUUUCUUGGCACUUUUCCCCGCUUCAAUCUUCCCGCAUCUUAUUGCAUUUUCUAUCAUCUCUUCAGACAUUACUAUGUCUGAGAAGCUCUUAGUAGCGCUUCCCAACAUGUGGUUAAUGAAUAGGGCCUUUAGGGUAUUGAUAAAAAGCAUGGUCGUUUCUUUUUCCAAGAGAGGUGGUUGGACUUGCAUUGCUAUCUCCCUCCAUCGUUAGGCAUACUGCCUGAAGCUCUCACUUGACUUCUUUUCCAUGUUUUGCAAUGUAAUUCUGUCGGGUGUUAUAUCCGUCAUGUGACCGUAUUCUUUCAUGAAAGCUUGAUCCAAGUCCUUCCACGAACCAAUUUGGGCACGGCUUAGAUAGUUAUACCACUUGGCCGUAGACCCGACCAAACUGUCUUGGAAGCAGUGGAUCAACAAUUGAUCAUUGUGAACAUACCCUGCCAUCAUUCGACAGAACAUGGUGAUGUGAGCUUCCGGACAGCUAGUUCCAUUGUAUUUUUCAAAAUCUAAGGUUUUAAACAUAGAAGGGAGUACUAAAUCUGGGACCAAACUUAGGUCUUUGGCGUCUAUUCCACAAUGGUACUCAGAAUUCUCCAUUGCUCUGAGUUUCUCUUCCAGCCAUUAGUAUCGAUCAUUCAGUUGUUUUGGUAGUUCCACUCUUAUUUUCUCUACCUCUGCCACAUUAUCAAGAUCAGGAACAAGGGGAUUGGUUGAGUUAUCCCCAGGAUUGGAACCCGAGCCUAUUUGAUAGUUUAUCAGAGCUAAAGUAUCGAUUUGAUGCUGUUGAGGCCUGAUAGUAACGGGUACCCUUCAUGGGUACACUUCUAGUGGUGUCUGGACGUUGAUUGGAGUAAAGACUGGGAGGUAGAUAGGAUCCUCAUUUUCGUUCGCAGUACUCUUCCCUUUUUCACGUUCUCUGACCAGCAACUGCGCCAAUUGGCUCAUCAUAUUAUUUUGGGACUCUUGCAUUUGUUCCCUCAUAUCUUGUUGUAUUUUAGCUAACUGCUCUUACAUCUGCGCUUGUAAUUGCUCUUGCAUAUCCUUUUGCAUUUAUUCUAGUCUUUCUAACCUCUGAUCCAUCUCUUUAGUUUUAUGACGGGUAUUGUAGCGGUAUUCGAUUGGUCGACUCUUAUUGGUUUCCAAAUUAACUGAAAUAAUUUUUUUUAAUUAAGGCCUUUUCGUGAAAUUUAAUACAUAUGAUUAAAUGUAAUGCAAAUGAAUGAAUGCAAAAAGAGGCAUUGAUUCUGAUUCAAUUUCAUUAGAAGAACUUUACUAGAAGAACUUUACUAGAAGAACUUUACUAGAAGAAAAAUUUCUUUACAUAGAACGGAUGAUUACAUAUACGACUUUUCCCUAAUGUCCAAAGCCUUAACUUUUCUAAGGAGCCAAGCAAAGUUUCGACCUCGAUUUGAUUCUGACCCGUACUUUAAGCUUAAUACAUCAGCCUGAACUUCCAAGUCUUGCAAAUGAUCGGCUACCUCACGAACUUGAGCUACAGCCUCGCCCAUGACAUAAUCUCUAUUUCUAAUCUGAUCUUGAGAGCGGAGAAGUUGUUCUUUGCAAUGCUCAUUGUUUGCCUUAAGGAGUUCCACUCGAAUUUUACUGUCUCGUAGUACAGUCUCAAGUUUCCCUAUUUCCUCUUUUAACCCCUCGAUCUUGCUUAGACUGGUCUUUAACUCAAUCACGGAGUUACUGCUACGAUGAUAAUGCAGUGAUUUUUCUAAUUCGGCCACCCGAGCUCGUAACCUUUCUUUUUCUCUUUGGCUUUCCAACAAAAUCUUUUUCAAAGUAUCCUCUUGAAACUUCUUCUCCCAAUGAUCGACUCUAGUCUUUUUCUUUUCAAUUUCUUGACACCAUUGCUCUGACGUUUUACCUAAACCGACAGUUCUUAUCGACAUACGCAGCUUCUUAUAAUCAGUCUUUAGACUAUCCAAGUCCUCAUCGGCUUUGUUCUUCCCUUUCCUUAGCUUCUUGGCCUAUAGCUUAUGGAUGUCGACGUCUAAUCCUAGCCGCAUCUUUUCCUCCUCUAAUUGCUCUAUCUUUUUUCCCAAUUCCGAGCUCCUUUUCUCGAAGUCUUACUUGAUGAUCUCUAACUCAAACGGGACUACUUGUAAAUGCUCUUCUAUCGGUCGAGUGUUCCCUUGAUUCAGCCUAAGGAUAUUGUCAUUGACUCUUCUACCCCACCACCAUUCAUACUCGGAGGUUGUUAUCGGGCCCGUGGUGAAUCCUUUCAUUCUUCGGGUUUGGUUCCAAGCAUUUAAUAUCUCAUAAACCUUCUUCUUAUAAUUGUUGUCUUUAUAAGAGAACUCACAUUGAGCUAACCCUUGUUUUGCUGGUAUAAACUUUCUUAAUCGAUACUGCCUUAACACAAGUAGUGGAACGUAUCCAACGACUCCUCAUAUUCCACCUAGAGGAACCCAGUCAAAAUUGCCGCACUGAUAUAAGAUUUCGCCAGGGAUCAACCAUGGAGCCCUCUAUUCAACAUCUUCGCCUUGCAAACUCUGGAAAAUAGCUAUCAUUUUUCUUCUGAGAUAUCGUCUCGUCUUGGUGUAGCGACUAAUUCUCUUAAUAGGGAAUAGUCCUUGGAGAAAACUCGAUAGGAGACAUUUUCUACUUUCCAAAAGUGGCUGUGGAACCAAGCCAACAAUAACUGCGCACAUCCUACGAAUCUUCCUUCGCCCGCCCUCCGACAUGCGUUCAAGGAUCUGAAGGUUUCUACUAGGAUUGCCAGGACGGGUGUGGUCCUUUUAUCAAGUCUGUCGAAUAAAUCUGAGACGGCCUCAUCUACAUGUCCUAAUGCCUUGGGAAAGACGAUCAAACCGUAGAGGCUCAAGGCGAAAACGUCAACCCUCUUCUUCAUAUCCGGGUGUGCCAGGAUCAAGUCCCUCAAAUUCUUCCAAAGAAUACACUUACUAUCCCCUUUCUGCUUGAUCCGGGAUGCAACCCAUUGUUCACUCAUCCCCGUGAUAUUCAUCAAUUUCUUCAAAAAGGGCGGGACAUUAACAGGUCUUGAAUAGGCCCUGUCGGCUUGAAUCUUUGGGCAAUUAUGUAAAGCCAUGUAUUCCUCCACAGUAGGUACCAAAUCAACUCUCCCAAAAGUGAAGCAACUGUAGGCGGGGUUCCAAAAUUGGGUGAGAGCUCGGAAUAAGCGUUUGUCCAUUUUCACCUCGAGUAAAUAAGCGUUUUGGCCUAACCCGAUCCGACCCGACCCGUCUUACCCUAGGAUCUGCGUGUUUUUUGUUUGAUGGUCUAAUUUCGCGAUUGGCCCAUUCCGCCUUUUCAUGUUUUUGCAAUUGAGUUUUUAAUAUUUCCUAAUUAGGCCCCGAAAUUUGACGCACUUUGUGAUCUAGUCCUCUGCCAUGCGCUGCGUUUUAGGAGGAGAGAAUAUUGCGCUUUUGGUCCCCUAGAGUUUCCCGCGUGUUCAUUUUGGUCCUUUGCCCUUUAUUUCUUUUUAAAUUUGCCCCAAAAUUCUGUUCUUAGUUCGAUUUAGUCCUUUUUCGUUUAUUUUCAUUUUUUUACAUAUUAUUAAUAUUAUUACUAUUAUUUUAUUUCUAUUAUUAUCUUUAUUAUUACUGUUAGUAUUAUUUUCAUUACUAUUAUUUUUAUUAACAUAUUAAUUAUUUUCUAACGUAUUAUUAUUACUAAUUAUUAUUAUUUCUAGUUUUAUUAUUAUUAUUAAUAUUAGGGUAUGUAUAUUAUAUAUGUAUGUAUAUAUAUUUACAUAUAGUACUAUUUUAAUUACUUUAUUUUAAUAUUACUAUUAUAUUAUAUUUGCUUUUUUAUAUACUUCAUUAUUAUUUCUAAUAUUAUUAUUAUUAUUAGUCGUUAUUUAUUUCUAAUAUGUAUAUAUUAUGUAAAUGUUUAAAUAUUAUAUUUUAUAUAUUCUUCAUGUAUGUUAUGUAUAUAUAUUUUCAAUAUUAUAUAUUUUAUAUAUUAUUAUAUAUAUUUUAAUAUUAUUAGUUAUAUAUUUUUUAUACUAUUAUGUGUAUAUUUCUAAUAUUAUAUUGUAUAUUUCUAAUACUAUUAUUUAUAUAUAUAUGUGUGUGUGUAGAUACUUGUGUAGUGUACAAAGUAGUUUUUUAUUAUUAUUAUCAUUUCUAAGGUAUGUAUAUAUUGUAUAUAUUUUAUAUAUGUUAUGUAUAUAUUUUUAAUAUUACUAAUUAUAUAUAUUUCUUAUACAUUUCCAUGUACAUAUUUUUAUACCAUCUUAUGUAUAUAUUUUUAAAUACUAUAUUGUAUAUAUAUUCUUAAUACCAUAUCGUGUAUAUAUCAUUAUUACAUUUAUUUUACUCCUACUAUGUUUGUUAUUAAUAUCAAGACAUAUAUUUUAUUAUACUUGUAUGCAUAUUUUAUAUAUAGUAUUAUUUUCGUAUAUCAUUAUAAUUAUUAUACCCAUUAGUUUCACUAUCAUCACUUAUUAUUUUAUAUUACUAUGUAUAUAUUUUUCAUAUACGUCAUGUGCACACAUUUUUCAUAUGUAUACAUGUAUAUAUUAUGUAUAUAUUUUAACAUUAUUAGUUAUAUUCUCACUAUCAAACAUUAUAUAUAGUGUACAUACAUACUCUUAAUAUCAUGUAUCUAUAUUCAUUAUUUCCAUUUCAUAUUUAAUUCUAGUAUCAUAUAUAUCUUUAUUGUUUAUAAUAUUAUUGUCACAUUUAUAUUCGCUUCAAUGUACCUCUAGAUUUGUCUUUUAUUUUUUAUUUAUUAAUUUGCUUUGCAUUACUUCGAAAACCAUAUUCUUGUUUUCUAAUUAAUUUCAAUAAUCAAGGCAACGUACCGAUUUAAUGUUAAGCCAUCGAUUUCAUCGCUAUGUUGGGUGAAUAUCAAUCGACUCGUGUUAAAACGGUAUAUUCUUCUCAAAAGAAAACGAAACUUGAAAUUUCUCGUGUUUUACUCGGUCACGAUUCAAUGUUACUUUGAACUUGCAAUUUUGAAAAUUAAUACAACACUUGUUUAUAAGAUACCAAUUUUGGACGUCGCGAGGGUGCUAAUACCUUCCUUGCGCGUAACCGACUCCCGAACCCUAAAUUUUCUCUGGAUUUUAACGUAGACCUAAACUCAGCCUUUUAUUUGUUUUAAUAAGAGAUCUAAUAGGUGUCCGAUCACACCUAGGGAAAAGGAUCGGUGGCGACUCCCUGUUUAUUUCAAAAAUCAAAUUUCAAAAUUUUUUUUCAAUAAAUCGCCACAAUUAGCGACCAAGCUAAGCUAAAAUUUUUACGUCGCUACAGCUGGCGACUCCACUGGGGACCAUUUUUGAGAGUCGAGUUGAAUUAAACGCGUGUUGUCAAAAUUUUCAAAGUUCCUUGUUCAAAAUGAAUAUUCAAUCAUGAUCCUUAAGUUUUGUUUUCGAAAAAAUCAUACAUACAUAUCUCCUAAUUUGUUUUAUCUUUCAUUUUUCAGCUUUAAGUUUUAUGGUUUUAGUUUUGUAGUUUUAAAAUAAAUGAAAGGUUUGCAAGUUUCUCCCCACGCACCGUGCACAUGCAUUUUUGUUGCAUAACAUGAGCUCUAUACCCGGGCUCUAUCCUUAUUAAGUGAAAGUAAAUGCUACGCCUUCGUGAGUUAACUCGUUCCUCCGCACAGGCUAGUGAAUACUUUCGGGUUACAUAUGACUUAUGCUUUCGUGAGUUAACUCGUCCCUCCGCAUAGGCAUAAGUAAAUGUAAUCGCUCGAAUUGAUCUCGUAAGCCUAUGAUGGACCAUGACCGAGGCUCUGUACUAAUCUUAGUAGAUGACAGUAUAGACGAUUCGAGUACCCAUCUAGAACCAAAACUGCAUGUAGUAAACCAUACGAGCCAUCCAACUAGAGCCGUGCCAAAACUCCAUCCGUUUACUAGUCACUGAAAUAAGUACACGGGAAAAACACAUCUUACCUUCUAUUUCUUUUACAUUUGCGCUUUCUAUGCAAGGGAAUCGAGUCCAUUGGACCAAGUAGCUUAAUUUAUUAGAUUGUCCACAGUUUUUCUCUGUUCAUAUGUGUUGUGCUAACCAAGUUUGUUUCUUUUUAUUCUUAUUUUACAUCAUGCAUUAUAGGCAUCAUAUUAGGAAGGUGUUGACUAGAGAUCGGUUGCCAAAAAAUGGGUUUGUAAUGGAAGAGUCAAUUAUACAAACAACCAAGAAGAAUGCCGCGGUUUGAGAUUGGUCUCUAAAGACUCAGAAAGAAAGAGGGGAUAGUCUAGUGGAGGGAUGCAUUGCCAAUUUACCCGAGCACGUAACUGUGAAUAUUCGCCAGAAUAACCUUGAAGAUUUGGUUCGGGUUUGGAAUCAGUGGGACUUGGACACUAGGGGUAUCUUCACUGAAAGAUAUGGGGACAUAGCCGACUUGAUUACUGUCAACGUAGACGAACGAUUGAUCCAAACCAUGGUCAGAUUUUGGGAUCCAGCCUACCAAUGUUUUACUUUCAAUCAGGAAGACAUGACCCCGACUAUAGAAGAGUACGCUGCUUUACUUCGUGUCGAAAACGUACAACCCUAUAAGAUAUAUGUGAAAGAACCUAAGCCAAUGACCUUCAAGAAAAAGUUAGUAAGAUUGACAGACGUGACUGACACGUGGGUCAAAAAACAGAUAAAGAAGAAGAAUGAAACCAUUUGCAUCCCAUGGUCUUCCCUACGAGACUUUGUUCUGAACCAUCCCGACAUGUUGAAAAGGGUAAAUCUGUUCGCUCUGGUCAUUUACGGUUUGAUCAUUUUCCCAAAGGUCCUUGGAUACAUAGAAGUUGCGGUGGUAGAUUUCUUCGAAAGAUUAAAACAAGGAAUCAACCCCGUCCCAACUAUCCUGGCCGAAACCUUCAGAUCAUUAAGUAGCUGUAAGAAGAAAGGGGAAGGUCGUUUUAUCGGAUGCGCGCAGUUACUCAAUGUUUGGAUUCUGAGCCACUUCUGGAAAAUAGAGCGUACACUAUUCCAUAUGUUUUCUAAAACAUUCUCCCCGUUAGAAGCUUAUCUCAAGAAAGAAUGGCCGAAGGAGGUCCCCGAACGAUAUUGGGUCUCAGUCUUUCAGAAUCUUCGCGCUGAUGACGUAACUUGGAGAGCCCCGUGGAUAUGCCCGUCAGUUCUGCUAUACAAGGUCGGGGAUCAAGAUUGGGUGCCACUACUCGGGUUAUGGGGAGGAGUUGGAUAUGCUCCGUUAAUGCUCCAAAGGUAAUUUUCUUCAUGAUAAUUCGUACCCGCCACCGGAGGAUUAGCACAAUCAGAGUUUGCUUUUGCGGGUGAAGGAUAUAUGAAGAGGGUCCGAGAUAUUGCAAAGUCUUGGAAGAGAAUUCAUCACAUAGAAUUAGCUCUAUAUGCUGAUACGUUCACCCAAGAUUACGACAUAUGGAGAAAGCAACGGGUGAACAGCCAGCAAAUCUCGUCGACAAAUUACACCAUCCAGAAUCCUUUCUCGGCAGAAGUGCCAUCCGAGCUAGAAAUAGCAAGACAGGAUUUUUGAGCGCGAAAGGUCAAAAUGUUGCGGGACAUUAGUAUUCUUCAAGAAGAAAAUUACCAGUUGAAGAUCGACGUCCAGAUCGAAAGGUCUAAAAUCGAAAAAGUACAAAAAGAAGUUGAAGUCGUAAGAAAUGACUUAAGGGACCUUCAUCUGGAAAAUAAAAAGUUAAGAGUCACUAUCAAGAAUAGUGGGUUGGGUAAGUCAUCAACAGAAUGGAGAGAAGAAUUAAACAAUGCUAAAGGCGGGAUGGAAUUUUGGAAAAAGAUGGCAGAGAAGGAGGAGGAAAAGGCUGCACGGGUUAUGAUAAAAUUGAGAAAGAAAAACGCUGAACACGAAGCUAUGUCUACCAAAUGGACAACUAGUCAAUCUGAACGUCAAAGCUUAAGAGAAAGAGUACGGGAUCUAGAAGAUGCGUUGCGAGCUCGUCAGCAACAAUUGGAUGCUCUCUUAAAAGCCUUGGAAGAAAAGAAUGAUCAAUAUGAUAGAGACACUCACGCUUAUAAAACAGACCUCCAAGAAAGAGAAAUGCAACUUGGCUUUUUGAUCAACAAAAUCCGUGAAGCGGCUGUGCACAUGGUACAACUAUCAGAUGAAGCAGACGAUCUCAGUUGCCAAUUCUCGCCGAGCCAACAAUCGAGCAUAUCAGAGUUCUUGGAGCGAGUAAAGAAAUAUAGCGAUAUAGCUAGGAAAUUUGUGUAAUGGCCGAAUUAAAAAUGGCGAAAUGUUUUGUGAUGAACUCUUUCGAUGAAUGAAAUGCCUAAUAGGGACUAUCUCGAGAUCAACACCAAUUUCUCGCAUUUCUUUCAUGUCUGACAUUCAUUCAACAUUUUUUCAUUCAUUCAUUGCAUAUACAUAUCCCAUAAUCAUUCGCUAAGGUUAGAAACAUAUAAUUUGCAGUUGCAACACUUCAAAUCUGGAACCACGCCAUUCGUAUAAAACGCGUCGACAAGCUAGAGUAAUGGAGGCUGAGUUCAAUGAAAGAAUCGAAAGGAUGGAAAGAAUCCAGAGGGAAUUACAAGAACAACUGGUUAAGUCACAGCAAGAAACGAGGGAUUUGAUAGUAAGAUCUCGAGAGGAAUCACUUGAACAUAAGGAUCAAAUGGCUAGAAUGAUGGAGAUGAUGUCGGUUUUGAUCAAAGAAAAAGGACCCAUGCAGAACCCCGACAGUAUGGAACCUCAAUCAAGAAUUAAUCAUGACCAGGAUCCACUCUAUCCCCUAGGAUUCACUCCACCGCAUACCCACGUAGCACAAAGAGGGUAUACUCAAGGGGAAUCCACAGGCUUGGAACAACGACCUAUGCCAUUUGCUCAUCUAGGGCAAGGAACAUUUAUGUCAAAUCCCGGAGCAACCCCUACCAAUCCUGUAGUUCUAGAUUUAGAUGAUCCGGCUGAAGUAGCCAAGUUGAAAAUAGAUGAUCACGAGGCUCAAGAGAAGUAUAGGAGUUUGGAAGAAAGACUCAAGGCAAUAGAAGGCACUGAAGCCUUCUCGGUACUAGGUGCUAAAGAACUCAGUUUGGUACCUGAUCUAAUUCUGCCUCCGAAGUUUAAGGUGCCAGACUUCGAAAAAUACGAUGGGACAAGAUGUCCAAAAGCAUAUCUUGUCAUGUUUUGCCAAAAAUGACCGGUUACGUGAACAAAGAUAAGCUACUUGUACAUUGUUUUCAAGAUAGUCUGGUAGGAUCGGCUCUUCGGUGGUACAACCAGCUCAGUAAGGACAGGAUCCGAUCCUGGAAAGACUUGGCGUUGGCAUUCUGUGAGCAGUACAAGCAUGUAUCAGAUAUGGUGCCUGAUCGGAUGACUUUACAAAUGAUGGAGAAAAAGCCAUCAGAAACUUUUAGACAGUAUGCGCAGAGAUGGAGGGACGUCUCAGCCCAAGUGGAACCCUCACUGACGAAAAUAGAGAUAACCGUCAUUUUUAUUAACACCUUAAAGACGCCGUUUUAUGACAAACUAGUGGGAAGCGCCACGAAGGACUUCGCGGACAUUGUAAUAUCCGGUGAGCUUACAGAACGCCGUCAAGAGCGGUAGAAUGGAAGGUCAAGAAAGUUCAAAAAGGGUAGCGCCCAUGAAGAAGAAAGAACCAGAAGCCCACAUAGUGGGAAUGGGAAGCCGUUAUACCCCUAAUCCAUAUCCAAACUAACCCCAACCUCAAAAUUAUCCACCUCCGAAUUUUUAUUAUCCUCCUCAAACCCCUUACUACCAAACACCGCCUCCUUACUCUUCUUACCCUGUUUACGCCACAAGUAACCCAAGACCAAUCGCCACAUUCCCAGAAAAUACAAUAGUCGCCCAAGGCCAACCCAAAAACGAGCAGAGGCCAGCAAAACCCAAUUCCGAGAGACCACAAUUUACCCCUAUUCCUGUGCCAUAUGGGGAACUGUACCCAAAACUUUUGGAGAAGCAAUUGAUAUCCCCGCAUUAUAUGGCACCCUUGAGGCCCCCAUACCCGAAAUGGUACGACCCAAAUGCUAGUUGCGUGUACCACGCCGGGAACCAGGGACACUCUACGGAAAACUGCCUUGCCUUCAAAAGGAGAGUUCAAGGACUCAUCGAUGCAGGUAUUCUGCAAUUUGAUGGUACUGACGGUACAACCGAGAACCCAUUCCCUAACCAUAUCGAAGGAAAUGUGAGCACAGUGAGGAAAGAAGAUAAAUGGCAAGUCAGAAGAUGUGUUUCAGAAAUAAGGACGGCUCUGCAGAAAAUCUGGGAGGCACUAGUUAAGAAGGGACUGCUCUGUCGCCUCGACGACAAUCUCAGAAAAGAAUGUCAGGUUUUUUAUGAUUUUCAUGGAAUUGUAGGGCAUGACAUUCAAUCAUGUGAAGAAUUUAAAAGGUUAUUGCAAGACCGGAUAGAUAAUAAGGAGAUUGAGAUCAUUAAUGAAAUAUGGGCCAAUGAGAGAGAAGUAUGUGCUUCUGACAAUCAAUCGUCAAGUUUUCCGUAUAGCACCGAUCGACCAUUCGUAAUUUAUUACGAUGCAAGGAAUGAACUGGUGAAACCAAAAAUGAUAAUUGAAGUACCAUCUCCUUUCCCCUACAAGGAUAAUAAAGCAGUACCAUGGAAAUACGAAGAAAAUCCAAAGCUGUAACUGGAAACGUUGGAGAAGUAGGUCAUUUCACUCGCAGUGGGGGAUGUUAUUCGAAAGAAGUUGAACCAGUGAAGAAGAAUAGUGAUUUGAAACAAAAAGGAAAGGCACCAAUGUUUGAGGCUGAAACUAAGAACGAAACUCCGCCUGAGCAACAAAAAACUAAAGAGUCGGUAGAUGAGGAAGAAGCACGGGAAUUCUUAAAGUUUAUCAAACAUAGUGAGUACAACGUGGUAGAACAAUUGAGUAAGUAGCCAGCGCGAAUCUCGGUAUUAUCUCUGCUGUUGAAUUCAGAACCACACCGGAACGCUCUGCUGAAAGUGUUAAAUCAAGCUUAUGUGGCAAACAAUGUAUCCGUUGAAAAACUGGAUAGAUGGAUGAACAACUUGAAUGCGGAUAAUUUUAUUUCUUUUAGUGAUGAUGAAAUACCGCCCAAUGGUAGAGGCUCAGUGAAAGCAUUGCAUAUCACAACCCGUUGUAAGGUCUAUAUAAUACCGAACGUGCUCAUCGACAAUGGAUCAUCACUCAAUGUCAUGUCUUUGGCCACACUUUCCAGGAUUCCGAUGGAUUUGUCCUAUCUAAGGCCCUGCCAUUCUACAGUAAGGGCAUUUGAUAGAACAAGAUGAGAGUUCAUGGGAAAAAUCGAGAUCCCUCUAGAAGUGGGUCCCUACAUAUACGAUAUCGAGUUCCAAGUCAUGGACAUUACACCAUCAUAUAACUGUCUUUUAGGAAAACCCUAGAUCCAUUCCGCUGGAGCAGUCCCAUCAUCCCUUCAUCAAAAGGUGAAAUUUAUCAUGGAUGGUUGUUUGGUCACUGUCGAGGGAGAAGAAGACAUUGUCGCAUCUAUCUCUGCUGAUGCGUCAUACCUCGAAGUAAGCAAAGACGCAAUAGAAUGGUCCUUCCGAUCCCUUGAAUUUGUCAAUGCAACAUUCGUCGCUGAGGGAAACAGAAUUCCCAAGCCAAAAUUGUUGAGAAAUACCAAGAUGGGUGUCAAGUUAACUGUAGGAAAGGGAGCCCGAGCAAGGAAAGGUUUGGGAAGGUACCUGCAAGGAAUAGUCAGGGCUCUAAAGCCAGUGCACCACAUGGCCCGAUAUGGUUUGGGGUUCCAACUGGACAUGCGUCAAAGAAGAAAACAGCGGAAGAAGGAUCAGGAGAGAAGGAUUGCGAGAACUUUGGGCCGAGAAGUAGAAUGGGAGCCCAUAACGUACUCUCAUUUGUUGAAAACAUUUACGUCUACGGAAAUGAUAUACCCGGGGCAGGAUCAUGCACAAGGCACAAUUUUAAUGAUCGAAAAGGGUUUUCAGAAUAUCAGUAUAAAUGUCAUUGACAAAGGAGCUAAUGCAAGUAAAGACGUCCCAAGGAUACGCCCUUGUCCCCUGGGUUUCAGGUUGAACAAUUGGACUACCGAAGACCUUCUUGUAGUUUAUAAGUCUUCAGAGUAAUGCUCAAACAUUAACAUUCUAUUAUGUUCUUAGAUAUAAUAGAGUUCUUUUGUAAGAGCCUGCAUUCGCUCUUUAUCAUUCAAAUGAAUAUCAAUGAAGAUGCAUUUUGUCAUAAUCUUUCACAUUAUCACUAAUUUCAUAAUCAUUUUCUCCUUUCAUAGCCAAUCCUUACAUUUGCCUCAUGCCAUGCCAUAACAUUUCGUUUGUUGGUUCCAAUACUUGGAUGCCCCUCUAUAGUUUCCUUUUCCAUUCAAAUUUCAGGUGCUCAGAUGUCAACAGCAUAAACAAACCUGUUACGAGUCCUGAAAUCUUUUUUGAAAAGGUUGUUUGUUUAGGAGAAUUCGAAGCCGAAGAAAAUGCUGAAGACUAUGUCUCGUCUCUUGACUUGCUAAGAAUGGUGGAACAAGAGGAUAAACAAAUUUUGCCUCAUCAAGAAUCUGUUGAAACAAUAAAUCUGGGAACUGAAGAAAGGAAGCAAGAAGUAAAGAUUGGAACUUCUAUUUCAGGGGGCACCAGGCAUAAUUUGAUUGCUUUGCUCCGCGAGUACAAAGAUGUAUUCGCAUGGUCAUAUCAGGACAUGCCAGGAUUGGAUGAAGAUGUAGCGGUCCGUAAGCUCCCAUUAAAGCCAAAAUGCAAGCCCAUUCAACAAAAUGCAAGUCCAUUCAACAAAAGGCAAAAGUCAAGAGUCAAGAAGCAAUUUGGUGCUAGUUUCCUACAAGCUUCCAAAUACUGUUGCGCUUUGGUUUGGGUAGCUCGAAGACUUAGGCAAUACAUGUUGUAUCAUACGACAUGGUUAAUUUCAAAGCUAAAUCCAAUAAAGCACAUGAUGGAAUCACCUGCACUCUCAGGAAGAAUGGCACGGUGGCAGAUCUUACUAUCAGAGUACGACAUCACCUAUGUGAGUCAAAAGUCAAUAAAAGGAAGCGCAAUAGCUGACUUCUUAGCAACCCGAACAAUGGAUGAAUAUGAGCCAUUGAGAUCUGAUUUCCCGGAUGAAGAUUUGAUGUGCAUUACAGAAAAAGAGGGUGAGUCAUCAAAAAAGAAGUCAUGGAAGAUGAGCUUUGAUGGUACAUCAAACACAUUGGGGCAUGGGAUUGGAGCAGUCUUAGUAUCACUAGAAGGGAACCAUUACCCACUCACUGUUAGGCUGAAUUUCUUCUGUACCAAUAACAUAGCGGAAUAUGAGGCAUGUAUCAUGGGACUUCGUGCAGCUAUUGAACGAAACAUCAAAACUUUAGAGGUAUACGGAGACUCAGCCUUGGUGAUUUACCAAAUCCGUAGAGAUUGGGAAGUGAGAGACUCGAAACUGGUUAAAUACAGUGAUCUAGUGGCAGAGUUGAUUAAAGAAUUCGAAGAAAUAACUUUUAAUUACCUCCCACGAGAAGGAAACCAAUUGGCUGAUGCCCUGGCCACUUUGGCUUCAAUGUUCAUAGCAAACAGAGAAACAGAAAUAAUGCCACUUCAAAUGAGCAUAUAUGAAGUCCCUCCACAUUGUUUCAGCAUUGAAAAAGAGCCAAAUGGACGGCCAUGGUUCCAUGAUGUCUUAGAAUAUAUCAAGAAUCGAAAGUAUCCCGAACAAGCAAACGAAAAUGACAAAAGAACAAUCAGAAGAAUGGCAGCGGGAUUCGUUCUUGAUGGGGACAUCCUGUACAAAAGAGGAAAAGAUCAGGUGCUCUUGAGAUGCAUAGAUGCUGUUGAAGCCAGAAAAAUACUUAAGGAUGUCUAUGAGGGAAUUUGCGGGACACAUGCCAAUGGUUUCACUAUGGCCAGGAAGAUUAUGAGACUCGGAUAUUACUGGCUGACGAUGGAAAGCGACUGCAUUAAUUUCGCACGAAAAUGCCACAAAUGUCAAUUUUUUGGUGAUAAAAUUCAUGUAGCCCAUUUGCCCCUUCACGUCAUGACUUUUCCGUGGCCUUUUUCUAUGUGGGGCAUGGAUGUUAUAGGGCCAAUUUCCCCAAAAGCUUCUAAUGGACACCGAUUCAUUUUUGUGGUUAUUGAUUACUUCACAAAAUGGAUAGAAGCCACAUCAUUUGCCAAUGUGACGAAGACUGCAGUUUGCAGGUUUUUGAAAAAGGAAAUCAUUUGUCGAUAUGGUUUGCCUGAAAGAAUCAUUUCAGAUAACGCCUUGAAUUUGAACAACAAGAUGAUGAAAGAAGUGUGUGAGAAAUUCCAAAUAAAGCAUUAUAACUCCUCACCCUAUCGCCCAAAGAUGAACGGAGCUAUUGAAGCAGCCAAUAAGAAUAUUAAAAAGAUUAUUGGGAAAAUGACCAAGACAUAUAAAGACUGGCACGAGAAGCUACCAUUUGCUUUGUAUGCAUAUCGUACAUUUGUACGGACAUCUACGGGAGCAACUCCUUUCUCUCAGGUCUAUGGAAUGGAAGCUGUGCUACCCAUCGAAGUUGAGAUCCCCUCUCUACGAGUCUUAAUGGAAUCAAAACUAGAAGAAGCAGAAUGGGUUCGAGCUCGAUAUGACCAGUUAAACCUUAUUGAAGAAAAACAUCUGAAGGUAGUCUGCCAUGGACAGAUGUACCAGAAGAGAAUGAUCGCAGCCCAUGACAAGAAAAUACGGCCAAGAGAAUUCCACAAAGGAGAACUCGUGCUGAGAAAGAUUCUCCCAAUACAAAAAGACUUCCAAGGAAAAUGGGCGCCAAAUUGGGAAGGUCCAUACGUCGUAAAGAAGGCAUUCUCAGGCGGAGCUUUGAUUCUCACCGAGAUGGAUGGGAAGGAGUUACCGGAUCCAAUGAACUCAGAUGCUGUAAAGAAAUAUUAUGCUUGAAAAAGGAAACCAAGAUGAAAACCCGAAAAUGGCAUCUUAAAAAAAAAGAAAGAGAAAAAAGUGUGAUCAAGGUAAAAACCCGAAAAGGGCAUCUUGAUUAAACACAAAAGAUUAUGAUGAAAACCCGAAAGGGCAUUCUAAUGAAGCAAACCCGGGCUUAAAGAACAAGGCGUUUUGAACGAUGGGUCAAAUAGUGAGACUACAGUAUUUGAAGCAUUUCUGAAAGCUCGAAAUCUUCUACGCAAGAAGCCAUGCUCGAAAAGGUUCUUGAUUGAGGAAUGGGAAAGAGUACAUGCAUUGAAUAUCUAGAGCAUUUGUAUUCGUUGAAUGCAAUCCCUUUUCUCUUUAUGACACUCUUUUACUAUUGUUGGUUAACUUUCUUUGUUUGCUACAUUUGAAAUGAAUAAUUGUGAGGUAUCCUUUUGUCCCUACCUGACCAUUUUCAUACAUCUCAUUAUGUGAUUCAAUUACAUGAUAAAUAGUGAAAUGACAUACUCUAAACAAAAGAAAUGUUAAGCAUUACCCGGGUAAGAAUUUAAUAAGUACAAGAAUCUCAAAGUAAGGACAAAGUUCAACCUGGGGUAAAAGAGUGAUAUUUGAGAAACAUUGAUUACUCGUGAAACUUGAGGACGGGUACAGGGCCUAAAGAGGAAGUCAGGAGCCGAAGUAAUGAAUGCAGAUCAUCACGAAAAUCGUGACGAAAAAGGAAUAUAUGACAAACAUGCCUAAAGCUCAUAGCAUAAUCAUGUAGGCAUAAAAUCAUUUAUAACAAACAUGUGCAUAUCAUGCAUGACAUAUACAGGUACUCCAGUAGAGCAAGAGGAUGUGAUGAUAGCUAAAAAGACACAUGAGUUUCUCCAGAUGACAUGUUUUGGUAUUCUGAUGUUUUAUUUCUGUUUCAAAAUUCAACUCAUACUGCGAGGGGUGAGUUGAGCCUCAAGACAUGCUGAGGUAUUUUCGAUUUCUGUUUUUCAAUUUAUGUUUUCAAAAGUCAAUUCAUAUUGCUAUAGGUGAAUUGAGCCUCGGGGCACGCUGAGGUAUUUUCAAUUAUUGUUUGUCAAAAAAUCAAUUCAUAUUGCGAGAGGUGAGUUGAGCCUUGGGACACGUUGAGAUAAUUUUUUUUCUGUUUCAAAAUUCAACUCAUACUGCAAGAAGUGAAUUGAGCCUCAAGACACGUUGAGGUAUUUUCAAUUUCUGUCUUUCAAAAAAUUCAACUCAUACUGCAAGAAGUGAGUUGAGCCUCAAGACACGUUGAGGUAUUUUCAAUUUCUGUCUUUCAAAAUAAUCAACUCAUAUUGCGAGAGGUAAGUUGAGCCUCAGGACACGCUGAGGUAAUUUUGAUCUCCGUUUUUGAAAAUCAACUCAUAUUGCGAGAGGUGAGUGGAACCUCAGAUCACAUGUCGAGGUAUUUUCAAAUUCUGCUUUUCAAAUUAAGUUUCAAAAACCAACUCAUAUUGCGAGAAGUGAGUUGAGCCUUGGCUCACACGCUGAGCUAUUUUCAAUUUCUAUUUUUAAUGUCUGUUUUUUAAAGAGUCAAUUCAUAUUGCGAGAAGUGAGUCGAGCUCAGGAUCACACGCUGAGUAAAGAAUUAAGAUUACAGCUGAUUGAAGACACCAGAUUUUGUCUCCCUGAAGUUGCAGUGGAGUUGAUCGAGGAUAUUAGAUCUUGCCUUUCUAAAGUGGCAGAAGAGAAGACCAAAACCUUAUCUCACUAAAGCGAUAGAAGAGCGGAUUGAAGUUGUAGAUCUUAUCUUUCUGAAGUUACAGUAAAACGGAUCGAAGCCACAAAUCUCAUAUCCUUGAAACUACAUUGGAGUAGAUUGAAGCUACAAGGCCCAUAUCAGAAGAUGCAAUGAAUUGGACCAAAGCUACAAGAUACGGUGGACUAGAGAGAAACUACUUGAACAAGAAGAGUACCAAAGACGUCAAGACUUAGCAAGACUGGGCAAAAUUGGCCUUUAUUUGUGUCUUUGCUCUAUUCCCGUUACACGACAAUGAGCAAAGAGGGGCAGCUGUUGUAGGCCAAUUUUGAGCCCUUUUUACAAAAUACCCACAGCCCAAUUUUAUCCACACUUAAACCUCAACCCAUUUCCUAAUACCCAUCUAAAUUAACCCAAAUAAAACCCAAGUACAACCUAAUUACCCAAACCCCAUAAAGCCCAAAUACAACCCAAUACCAACCUAACCACUACCCAUACCCAAAUUAGCCCAAUAACAAAUAGCCCAAUUCUAACCCUAGCCCAAAACCAAAACUUUCAGCCAAGGGAAACCCUAGGCCGCCGCAUGCUAGGCAUGCCUCUGCCCGAGACCUGGCACCAGCCACUACUACCACCACGCCACUGCUGCCCACCAUGCUUCUCUGACAACGGCCAUACCCUGCAAAAGGAGACAAACACCAAGACAGAAGAAGACGACAAGGAGCAAUGGCAAGAAACUUAAAAAAUGUUGUAUAGAAAUGGCUAUAAAGGCUAGAUCCGAAUGUAAUAGGAGCUCCCUCUUUUUUUUUCCUUUCAUUUUGGCAGUAAGAAAAAACACAAAAACAAGAAGAAAAACAUUCAAUUUCAGAUUCAAUAUAGUGAUUCAAUCAACGUUUAAAUAUAGAAAUAGCAUUCAGGCAUACAAAAACACCAAGAUCAAAGGAUUAAAAGCUUAAAAAACCCUAAGGUGAUUUCUUUUUUUCUUUCUAUUUUAAAUUCGGUUUUAAGCUUUUUUUACCUUUAUAUAUAUAUAUAUAUUAAAACAUAUUAAAAUAUAAAUACAAAAUACAAAAAAAAAGUAAAUUUUUACCUUUUCCGGCCACCGCACGCUGGCGACGGACGGAGGCUGACGAUCGGCCGGUGACCGGCCCCCCUGGCCGGAUUUCCUUCCCCCCUCCCUUCUCUCUUCUUUCUCCCUCAUUUUUUUUCUUUCUCUCCUCAGAAUGAUUUUUUUGUCAAAAAUUGGCCUUAUAUAGCCCUCCAAAACGACGUCGUUUUGGGGCUACCCUUUAGCCCCAAAACGACGUCGUUUUGGCCUAACCCGAUCCGACCCGACCUGUCUUACCCUAGGAUCCGCGUGUUUUUUGUUUGAUGGUCUAAUUUCGCGAUUGGCCCUUUCGCCUUUUCAUGUUUUCGCAAUUGAGUUUUUAAUAUUUCAUAAUUAGGCCCCGAAAUUUGACGCGCUUUGUGAUCUAGUCCUCUGCCAUGUGUUGCGUUUUAGGAGGAGAGAAUAUUGCACUUUUGGUCCCCCAGAGUUUCCCGCGUGUUCAUUUUGGUCCUUUUCCCUUAAUUUCUUUUUAAAUUUGCCCCAAAAUUCUGUUCUUAGUUCGAUUUAGUCCUUUUUCGUUUAUUUUCAUUUUUUUACAUAUUAUUAAUAUUAUUACUAUUAUUUUAUUUCUAUUAUUAUCUUUAUUAUUACUGUUAGUAUUAUUUUCAUUACUAUUAUUUUUAUUAACAUAUUAAUUAUUUUCUAACGUAUUAUUAUUACUAAUUAUUAUUAUAUCUAGUUUUAUUAUUAUUAUUAAUAUUAGUGUAUGUAUUUAUAUAUGUAUGUAUAUAUAUUUACAUAUAGUACUAUUUUAAUUACUUUAUUUUAAUAUUACUGUUAUAUUAUAUUUGCUUUUUUAUAUACUUCAUUAUUAUUUCUAAUAUUAUUAUUAUUAUUAGUCGUUAUUUAUUUCUAAUAUGUAUAUAUUAUGUAAAUGUUUAAAUAUUAUAUUAUAUAUAUUCUUCAUGUAUGUUAUGUAUAUAUGUUUUCAAUAUUAUAUUUUUUAUAUAUUAUUAGUUAUAUAUUUUAAUAUUAUUAGUUAUAUAUUUUUUAUACUAUUAUGUGUAUAUUUCUAAUAUUAUAUUGUAUAUUUUUAAUACUAUUAUUUAUAUAUAUAUGUGUGUGUAUAUAUUUGUGUAGUGUACAAAGUAGUUUUUUAUUAUUAUCAUUUCUAAGGUAUGUAUACAUUGUAUAUGUUUUAUUUAUGCUAUGUAUAUAUUUUUAAUAUUACUAAUUAUAUAUAUUUCUUAUACAUUUCCAUGUACAUAUUUUUAUACCAUCUUAUGUAUAUAUUUUUAAAUACUAUAUUGUAUAUAUAUAUUUUUUUCUUAAUACCAUAUUGUGUAUAUAUCAUUAUUACAUUUAUUUUACUCCUACUAUGUUUGUUAUUUAUAUCGACAUAUAUUUUAUUAUACUUGUAUGCAUAUUUUAUAUAUAGUAUUAUUUUCGUAUAUCAUUAUAAUUAUUAUACCCAUUAGUUUCACUAUCAUCACUUAUUAUUUUAUAUUACUAUGUAUAUAUUUUUCAUAUACGUCAUGUGCACACAUUUUUCAUAUGUAUACAUGUAUAUAUUAUGUAUAUAUUUUAACAUUAUUAGUUAUAUUCUCACUAUCAAACAUUAUAUAUAGUGUACAUACAUACUCUUCAUAUCAUGUAUCUAUAUUCAUUAUUUCCAUUUCAUAUUUAAUUCUAGUAUCAUAUAUAUCUUUAUUGUUUAUAAUAUUAUUGUCACAUUUAUAUUCGCUUCAAUGUACCUCUAGAUUUGUCUUUUAUUUUUUUAUUUAUUAAUUUGCUUUGUAUUACUUCGAAAAUCAUAUUCUUGUUUUCUAAUUAAUUUCAAUAAUCAAGGCAACGUACCGAUUUAACGUUAAGUCAUCGAUUUCAUCGCUAUGUUGGGUGAAUAUCAAUCGACUCGUGUUAAAACGGUAUAUCUUUCUCAAAAGAAAACGAAACUUGAAAUUUCUCGUGUUUUACUCGGUCACGAUUCAAGUUACUUUGAACUUGUAAUUUUGAAAAUUAAGACAACGCUUGUUUAUAAGAUACCAAUUUUGGGCGUCGCGAGGGUGCUAAUACCUUCCUCGCGCGUAACCGACUCCUGAACCCUAAAUUUUCUCUGGAUUUUAACGUAGACCUAAACUCAGCCUUUUAUUUGUUUUAAUAAGAGAUCUAAUAGGUGUCCGAUCACACCUAGGAAAAAGGAUCGGUGGCGACUCCCUGUUUAUUUCAAAAAUCAAAUUUCAAACUUUUUUUUCAAUAAAUCGCCACAAUUAGCGACCAAGCUAAGCUAAAAUUUUUACGUCGCUACAAACGCCUUUUUAUAAUGUAAUGCCAUACAAUAACAGGAAAACACAACAAGUCAGUAUUAUAUAAAGAAUAAUAGAACUCAAAGUAAGCAGAAAAUAAUUAAACACCUAUACGAGUAAUCGCUAGGGUUUGGUGCAGCUCUACCUAAGGCGGGUUUCUACGGCUCAACUAUAUGCGGUUUGUUUUUAAAGUAAAGGUUCCCAAACCAACAGAUUCCUCAAUCUUCACCCAUUAUAGGAUCAUAUAGACCGAGUUUAGUUCAGGGGAAUACAUUUCCCUAUAGCUGCACAGAGAUGAAAAUCUCACGAAGACGUAGGUACGAAUGUAUCCUGAAAGCAAUCAACUAUCCUACACAGAGGUGAAGACCUCACGAAGGAAUAGUUUCUCACUCCUACUUAAGAGGUGUGACUACAACGGUCAUGCAAUGCAAUGUGCGAGGAUAUAUGCAUAAAAAACUUGAAGCGAUAAAGAAAAUGGGAAUAAAAUAAUGAAAACCGUAAGAAAAAUGGGUGAAAUGCAAUGAAGGGAUCGUAAGAUUAAAACAAAUUUUCAAUUUUCGACAAAGGACAAAAAUUAAUCAAUUUAUGGCUCGACUCUCAAGGGUCCCUAGUGGAGUCGCCAAGCUGUUGAAACCAUUUUUUUGAAAAAUGGGAAUCGACUUUGUUUGAAAAUAAAAAUUAAAACGGGAGUCACCAUCGAUCUUUAUUAGGUAUGAUCAGAUCACCUUUGUUUUAAUAAAACAUUUUAGUUUACUAAAAUGGUGUUUUUGGUCUACGAAACUCGAGAGAAUGGGUUCGGGAGUCGGUUACGUACGAGGAAGGAUUAACACCCUCACCACGCCCAAAAUUGGUACCAAAUUGAUUAGUUAGUGUCUUAAUGUCGAAAAUUGGAAAUCGGGAAUUGAUUUAAAAUACGAUCCUUUUUUAUUAACGUCGAUUUUAAAAAUGCUUGAAUUAGAUCAAAACGAUUGCUAAAGAUUUCCUCGUCUUGAGAUAUCAGAGUAUCACAUCCCGUAAGUUAAGACACGAUCUCAUGAACUACUGAGCGCAAGUUUGUCUUUAAUUUUAAUUGGAAUUUCGUGUGCUUUAAAACUCGAAAGGAUAUUUGGCUAUUUAGAAUCAACGAGAAAAUUGAAACCUCGUAAGUUAGGGCACAAUGCCUCGAUGUUCCAAAACGCAAAACAUUGCCUUAUUUAGAAAAUUUUGUUUUGAACCAUAGCGAGUACGAUAUUUAAGCGACGUGUAUUAUUUGUUUGGAUUAAAAUAAAACGAUUUAUUGGAUAAAUGCAACGAGGCUUGAUUCAUGAGGCGAUGAUAUGAAAUAGAAAUAUAGUAAUGAGCCUAGAGCAAGGAUACAUGGACACAACAUUAUACGAAUGAAUAACAAUAAUGCAAAAAUAUGAAAUAAACGAAUUAAAAUACACACAAUAGCAAUAAUCACACAACAUACAUUAUUUAAAUACUAAUCAUUAAUAAUCAAAGACAAAUGAAUUAAAUAACAUAUAAAAAUUUAAAAAAAUUAUAAAGCAAAUUAAAACGAAUAAAACGUAAAACAAAUUUUAAAAUGAUAAGAAAUGAAUUUAAAAUAAAUAAUGUGAAAAAAAAGAAAUUUAAUAUCAACAAUAUACAAAACAAUUUAAAAAUAGAAUAUAUGUAUAAUAAAUUUUAAAAUAGGUAAUAUAGGCGAAAGUUUAAAAUAAAUAAUAUACGGGAAAAGUUUAAAAUGAAUAAUAUGUAAAAUAAUUUAAGAUAAAUAAUAUAUAAAUGAGUUUAAAAUAAAUAUUAUGUAAAAAGAAACUUAAAAUAAGUAAUAUACAAGACAUCUAAGAAAUAACUAGUAUAUAUAUAAAAAAAAUUAGAUAUAAAAAUUUGAAAUUGAUAAUAUAUAUAAAAUUUUAAAGUAAAUAAUAAAACAAUUUAAAAUUAAUAAUGCAUAAAGCGAGUUUAAAAUAAAUAAUGUAAAAGAAUUUUAAAAUCUAUAUUACGCAAAGCAAAUUAAAAAAGGAUUCAUAUGAAUAAUUUUAAAAUAGAUAAUAUAUAUACAUACACAAAAGUGUAAAAUAAAUAAUAUAUAUAAAAACCUAAAGUAAAUAAUAAUAAAACCAUUUUAAAUAAAUAAAAAGAGUUUAAAAUAAGAUAACAAUUUAAAACAAGCAAUAAAACAGUUACACAUAAAAACAAGUUUAGAAAUAUAUAUAAAGCAAUUCAAAGUAUAUAAUAUAUGAAAUAAUUUAGAAUAAUACAUCCAAAACAGUCUAAAACAGUUUAUCAUAUAAAAUUUAAAAUAAAUAAAAUAGUUUAAAUUAAAUGAAAAAAAAAUCAAAGAGUCCAAAUUUACAUGAAAAAGGGGUAGAUUGUAAAUAAAAUGAAACUUUAGGGUCUAAAUUCGAAUAAAAUAAAUGCAAGUAUAUAGAAAGGACUAAAUCAAAAUCUAAAUAAAAUUAAAAGGGGAAAUUCGGAUAAAAAAAAGGUAGAGGACGGAUUUGAAACGUGCUUUAAAACUGAAGGACCGAUUGGGAAAAUAUUCCCCUCCCUUAUACGCUGCGUUUCACUCGUCUGCCUCUUCAAAUGGUCUGAGGGCCAAAUUGAAACAGAGGUAAAAUUAUGCAGUCAAAGUUAAAAAUAAAAGGAAAAUAAAAAGGAUUAAAUUAAAAGAAUCAAAAAUUCGGAAGGACGGCGGACGUAAAUAGCCCAUUUACUGAAAACGCGUGGAUCCCCCUAGGGCGAGUCGGGUUGCGCGGAUCAGAGGCCCAAAACGACGUCGUUUUGGCCUCUAAACCCAAUUACCAAAACGGCGUCGUUUGCUUCUUAUUACUUAAGUCAAUUUUUUUUUUUUAAAAUUCAUUUUUGCGUUUCACUCGUCUGCCUCUUCAGCGACGGAGAAGGGCUCUCUGAAGCCACGGCCACGGGGUUCAGGUAAGUUUCCUCCUCUUUUUACAUUUUUUGUUCAAAAAUGAAAAUAAAAGAACAAAAGGAAAACGAGAUAUGGGAACAAAAAUCAACCUUUUGCUUGUUUUUUCUUUUUCGAUUGCUUAAUGUUCGUAAAAAAUUUACAGAGAAGAAGUUUCAGGCUUUAUUGCCGAAGAUUACAAGAUCCCUUUUUGUUUUUUGCUUAUUGUCUGCUAUUGUUCCUUGUUUUUUUCUUCUUUGUUUCUUGUAUUUUGCGUGUUUGGAUUUGUUUUGCAGGUGGUGUCAGAUGCGCGUGCUGCUAUGGUGGCGUGCGGGAGGCUCUGCGCGAGGUGGCCAAUGGUGAGGAGCGGCGGCUGAAGAGGGAGCUAGGGUUUGCUUGCUGAAAAUUUUGAUAGCUAGUGGGCUAGGAUUUGGGCUGGUUUGGUUGUAUUUUGAGUCUGAAAUGGGUUUUAAAUUGUUGGGCCACACAUAUAUUGUAAAUGGACUAAAAAAAAGAAACUUUUUAAUUGUUUAUUUGAGUUUUAUUUUGUUUUAUUGGCUUGGGCCAAAAUUAGCUAUUACAAUUUUGCCUUACUUUUUUAUUUUUAUUUUGUAGCUAAUUAUUAAAUGACAAUCUUUUGAAGUUUUCGUCGUCAGCAAUUGAAGUGUUUUCGGGUCUUCGGUGACAUAACGGCCUAUAUAAAAAAAUGGAUAUAAAAUUUGCCAUGUUUUAUUUAUUAUUUUAAUAUCUUGCGUUUUCAAUUUAAUUCAACUUUAACAAUUCAAUUUUUAAAUAAGGCUUCGCAUUUUAUUUCUUCCUCACUUUUUAAAAUAUCAAUUUUAGUCCUUCAAAAAUUCUUUUAAACUCUUAAAAUUUUGAAAUUGCAAAAGUGCCCAUCGAAUUCCCUUGUUUCCCAUAUCAUUGUCAAUUUUAAGAAUCUAUAUUUUAUGUAUCUUGGCAAAAUCAAUGUUAUUUCCAAUUUUUUUAUUUUGACGUGUGUAUAUAUAUAUAUAUAUGAUGUAUCUUGGCAAAAUCAAUGUUAUUUCCAAUUUUUUAUUUUGAUGUAUAUAUAUAUAUAUAUAUGAUGUAUAUCACUUUUUAUGGUUAUGGUUGUAUGAUUGGUAUGAUUAAUAUGUACAAUAUAAAUAUAUAUUAUUUAUAAUUGUCUACAUACAAAAUAAAUUUGAUCUUCAAAAUUUAUGUACAAUAAAUAAUUCUUAUUUAUGUAAUGCAUGGUAUAUAUACUAAAAUAAUUUACGAUGUUAAAUUCUUCUUUUAGGACAAUAAUCUUGAUGAGUAUUACGUAUAUUUUUAUGAUUAUCUUGAGGUUAAUAUUAUUUUAUGUAUUUUUUUUAUACAUUUAGUCAUUUAUGCAUAACCCUCUAUAUAUUUUUAUGUAUAAUUUCAUAGGUAUAAGGUCACUUAACUUUUAAAAGUUUUCAUUUUAGGCACUCGAAAAAAAUGUUUACAAUUUAGGUGCUUACAUUACAUAUUUUGAUUAUUUUAGUCACUUUCAUUAAAAAUAUAAAUAAAAAUGUAACGCCCUAAUUUUCGAGAAUUCUGUGAAUGUUGGCAUAGGUUUAAUUAUGUUAAUGGGCUUCUAGAAGGCCCAAGCUUAAGAUAGAACACGGCAAUUUUAGUUAAUUUUUGUUCCAUAAGAAAAAGGGGGUGAAAUUAUGAAAUAAAACCUAUGUGAAAAUGUUUGAAAAUGCUAUAGGCUAAAUUGAAGUGGCCAAAUAAAUAGGAGUGCAAAAUAGGAGGAUUUGCAUGACAAACCUCCCAUUUUACAUGAAGUGGCUAGCCAUCAUGUUGUUGUAGGAGGACUUGAUAUCCAUAAUUUAUGGUACAAAUUGAUACAAAUUGAUAAUGGGUUAGGUAAAUGUUCCAUGACAAUGGAUUACGUAAAUAUUCCAUGAUAAUGGGUUAGGUAAAUGUUCCAUGAUAAUGGUUUAGGUAAAUGUUCCAUGAUGGGAAUUUCAUGUCUUUUGUAUUAAAGAAUUAAAUGGAUGAAAUAUGGAAUUUUAUUAAAAGAAAAAGGGGUGAAAAGAACAAAGUUUUGUCCAUCUUUGUUCAUCAUAGCCUAAAGUUAGAGAAGAGAAAGGAGAGGAGAAAGCUCUUGAAUGCUCGGUCCCUUGGGGAAGAAAAUUGAAGGUAAGUUCAUGGUAGUUUGCUUCUAUCUUGAUGUUCAUGAGUUCUUCUUGAUUCUACCUUAACUCUUGAAGCAUAUUUUGGUUUUUGGUUGUAUUGUGAGCAUUUGGUCAUGAAUUAAAAUGAAGGAAAUGGUUGUUGUUUCAUGUUCUUUUGAUGAAUAAUGGAAGAUAGGUGAAGUUGAGCCAAACAAAUGAACAUGCAUGUGCCUUAGAUGUUAAAGGGAAAAAUCACCUAACAUGUUGUGCUUUAAAAUGAUGAAAUGGAGAUUAUACUUAAGUAAAAUCAUAGAUAUGUGAUGAUUGAUUGGUGAUAUACAUGUUUAAAUAACAUGCAUGCAAGGUAUGUGUGAAAGAGUGAUUUGGUAAUAAAUCUGCUUGGGACAGCAGCAGUAACGUGACUUUGGAAAAUCACCAUAAAUUGUGGGAGAUGAAUUAGAAGCUGAAUAAAUUAUGUAAUUAAAGUUAUUGAGUCUAGUUUCUAAUGAAAUAAACAAGAACAUAUUUUGAAUUCUGUACAAUGAGAAAUUUGAUUCAUAAUGAAGGGUGGUCAGAUUAGUCAAACAGUGAAACAUGGGAAACUUUGAGAAAAAUCUGGUAUUGAUUGGCCAAACCAAAAAUUAUGAAAAUUUUAUGGAUAGAAGAUAUAUGAGUCUAUUUUCAGGAAAAAUUAAUGGCACUUGAUUUGGAGUUUCGUAGCUCCAGUUAUAAAUGAUUUAGUGACUGUCGCUCAGGAAGACAGCUUGCAGUGAAAUUAUGAUUAUGUGGUAAACAUUGACAAAAAUUUGUUAAUGAGUUGCUUAUUGUUUUCUUAUAAGCUUACUAUGAUCUGUAGGUGUGGUUGGCCGAAUAUUGUAAGGGGUUAAUACGUAGUUCGUAUUUGAAUAGUUAGAUUAGCGUGUUAGUAAUCCAAUUGUAGGCGGUUCGUGUGUAGAUCUCGUCAGCAUAUCGUCGCAAACAGGUGUGUAACUAACACCCUCUUUCUUAGUCUAGGUCGGCAAAAGCCGAAAAGCCGAAAUGCCGAAAACCGAUAUUUUGUAGAUUUGCGAGUGUGCGAAUGCUCGUGAGGUAAAUCGAUUAAUGUUUUUGGUAAGCUGCAAUGUUUGGACUGCAAAGUGCACGAUUUCUGUGCCCUCGAUAUUUUUGGGCUUAAUGGGCCAAAAUUGGAAUGAUGGGCCAACGGGCCCAAUUUGGUAAGAACCCUCGGUAUGUGAUUCUAUAGUACGUGAAAAGUAGGAAUAUGCAUGAAAAACCCUAAAAUAGAUAAAUUACUGAAAUACCUUUAAAAGUGAAAAAUUUACAUUUUUACCCCUAGGAGAUAAAUUACCGAAAUACCCCUAGGACUAAAUUGACUUAAAUGCAUGUUUGACUGUUGUUAUUUACUGCAUGCCAUGUUGUUAUUAUCUAAUACAUGGGAUUGGGAUAUUGACGGAGGAAGUACUGAAAGUGGCUUGUCCACGUACUGGAGGCUUUGCCUCAAUUUACUGUUAACUGAGCAGUAAGGCUGCAACUGUGGAGUGUUGGGCUAGGUGGGUUGAGCUAUUCUCCACAUGGAGUGUAUGGCUGGUACGGGUGGAGUGUAGUGGUUGGUGGGUUGAGUAAUCUCCCCAAAUGGGCUUGCAUAUGUUUACUGAUGUUGCAUGUAUUUUGAAAUGGGCCUAUGGGCCAUACUGUUAUCUGAAUAAGGGGCUAAGGCCCAGUUUAUUGUAAUCUGAAAAGGGCUCUGGCCCAGUACCACUGUUACCCAAAUGGGCUUGCAUAUGUUUACUGAUGUUGCAUGUAUUUUGAAAUGGGCCUAUGGGCCAUACUGUUAUCUGAAUAAGGGGCUAAGGCCCAGUUUAUUGUAAUCUGAAAAGGGCUCUGGCCCAAUACCACUGUUACCCAAAUGGGCUUGCAUAUGUUUACUGAUGUUGCAUGUAUUUUGAAAUGGGCCUAUGGGCCAUACUGUUAUCUGAAUAAGGGGUUAAGGCCCAAUUUAUUGUAAUCUGAAAAGGGCUCUGGCCCAGUACCACUGUUACCUGAAUGGGCUUAGGCCCAAUGGGCUUGAGCUGACUUGGGCUUUGAAUGAGUUUUCCUUACACACUGAGUUUCCCCAAACUCACCCCUUUUAUUUUCAUCCACGCAGGAAAUCCCCAACCAUAGUGGGCUUGGAGCUGUGAGGGAAUUCGGAGUGGCCACCCGUUCUGAAAGUUUGAUUUUCUUCUGGUGAACUGGACAUCCUUUUAUUUACGUUUGAAGUUUUUGGGCUUUUAAAUGUAAUAAGGCCGCUUAAUUAUUUUUGAUGGUUUUAAUAUGUAUUACUAAGAUAGGUAAUACUUAUUUUAACUGUUGAAAUAAGAUAGCUUUAGGGCGCGUUUUCAAAAACAACAAUUGAUUUCAAAAUAACACGACAACAAGCAAAGCUUCCGCAAUGAAAGUAUUUUCCAAAAUUAAUCACUUUUCCUAAAAAUGACUUAAUCAAAUCGGUUUCCUAGAAAUAUCCAUGACAUUAAGGUGUGGUAAUGGCAGUAUGCAUGUCUAGGAUUGGAUCCGAAGGGAGCUUGGUACUUAAGCAGUCCGAUGGACUCACCACCUCUUUUCCGGUUUCCUACUUGGUGCACAGCUUCCAUUCACUUUAACCUUUAAUGAAUUAAUCUUUUGAACAUCAAGUACGAUUUUCUGGACUUAGAAUGGGAAUUUUUUUUUUACGUUUCUGAUGUGGCAUGCCGGAUCCAGCCAUAACUUCUGGGCCGGGUUUGGGGUGCUACAGAAAAUCCGACGUGAAAUUAUUUCUAUUUUUUUACAUUCCACAUAAUUUAAUUAAGAUAAAAAAUUUAUCAGUUCGGUCUCCAAUCUUUCGAUAUAAAUGAGGUUUAAUCCUUCCUUAAAAGAAAAAGCGUUUAGCCCUAAAAAUUGGGAACAAGAGGCAACAAUCCCUUUUCUUUUCUUUUUUCAAUAUUAGGGUUAACCUCUCCUUUUAAUAAAAGAAUUAAACCUUAUUUUUGAGUGCUUAAAAUAAAAGCUUUUAGAAGUUGAGUGACAAUUUAUAUAGUUUACCUUAAUUUCAUUUGCAAUUUAUAUAUAUUUUUUAUCGAACAUAGUCAAAAUUGUUUAAAAACUAAAAGAACUGUCAUUUGUAUAUAUUUUUACGUUUAAUUUCAUUUGUAUUUUCAAAAAAAAACAUUCUUUAUAUAGUGUGAAACAAACAUUCUUAAAAUUGUUUCUUUUUUAAUUGUGUAUAUAUUUUUUAAUUGUUUCUUAAAACUAUUAUUAAAAUUGUUGCAUUUUUAUUUUUUCAAAUUGAUAUUAUAGUUCACCUUCUUAAAUAGUUCCAAAUUUGUAUACUAUUUAAAAAUUGAAAGAAAUUAUCAUUAUCAAUGAUACGUAAAUUUGAAAACUAAUUAAUAAUUAAAUGCUUGAAAUUACAUGCAACGCGUGUGCAUUAGAAACUAGUUAAGAGAAUAAGAGUAAAUUUUCAUGCAUUCGAUAAAACGGGUAAAAGCCCAAAGCCUAAAUGCAGAUUUUUUGGGUAAAGUGUUUGUUUUAAUCACUCUAAUAUUAGGUCAUUCUUAAUUUAGUCACCUAAAAAAAUAUUUAUUAAUUUGGUCACUUUAGUUAAAGAAAUUGACCAAAAUAGUCACUCUAUCGUUAAAUUUUACAAAAUAUUAUCAUUUUCUUUUUCUUUUUUACUUCUCUAUUUCUAUAAUAUCUUUUCAUCCUCUGCCUUCAAACCCAAAAACCUUAUCCCCCACUUCCCUUAAAGAUGUUAGUGCUUCCUUUGUCGAACCACCGUGGGUGAGCAUCGUCUUGUUAAUGAACGAUGCUAAAGGACACUUUUUCUUUGUCCCUAAUUUCCCUGCUUUUCUUUCCCUUACCCAUGGCCAUUGCUUCUCAUCGUCAUUGUUGCGAUUAUCUGACGUCUUCUUUGACAACAGACUAUCAAUCCAAAAACCAUUAAUGUAAAGUCAAAAGCCUCCUCUUUAGAUAUAUAGAGUUAGAUUUCUCUAAAGCCCCCUAAAAAAUUGUGAGGUCACUUUCAAAGUUUUAGAAUUUUUGUGGUUUGAUCUCUUAAUCCUAUCAUCGCUAUGGUUUGAUUUUAAAAUGCCUUUCUCUUUUUGAGCUCAUUGCUAGUGGCUCGACGAAAGCAGUGACAACAUCUUUAAAGGAGGCGGCAACUAGAGUUCUUAGGUUAGAAGGGAAAAGAUAAAGAAAAUGAAAGGAGAGAAAAAAAAUAAAAGAAAUGGAAAAAUGGAAAAGGAAAAAGAAAUAAUAAAAAAUGAAUUUGACAGUGGAAGAGUUGGAUUUAACGAUCGAGGACAUUAACAUGUUCAUCUAUAUCAUAAUGUGAUUAAGCUGCUUAAUCGAAAGUUGUACAGAGAAUAUAAUAUCAGUUUAUAAAUAUUAUAAAUUAUCAAAAUAACAGAAAAGGUGUUAAUUGAGGUAAGCAUGUUUGAUUGGCUUCCUUCAUCCCAUCCUUUAUAGAUAUCAAAACACAAAUAACUGAUUUAAUGGAGCUUAUGUACGCAAUUUCUGAUUUCUAAGUUUUGUUCUUAAUAUUUUAAAUUUAAUACGGAAAGAUGUCAACAUUAAGUAAAACGAGAAUGAUGACUUAAAGUCUUUCAACACUCAUAGAUAAUUUUUGUUUCAUCACUAUCAGGUGAGCUUCAUAGAUAACUUUACCAACAAGAAAGGAAUGACAAGCCAUUGUUAUCAGAUUGCAUAUCGAUCCAUACAGUGUUCACUCACGGAUGAGGAGAUUAACAACCUGCAGUACUUGUGUCGUUAUUAUUACUGAUGUUACUAUAGUUUUAAUUCUGAAGUGUUGUUUCAUGCUAAACUAUGUUGGUGUUUAAUUUUGAGAUUGAUUUUAAAUAAUUUAGAUUUGGGAAAAGAAAAGGGAUGGUAUGAAAUUGUGAUUCCAUAUCAUCCCUAUAUUUUUUAAUAGGAGAAUGACAAAUCAGAUUUUUACUCCUAAUUUUUAGAUUUUAGUUAAAAAAUUCAAAGAGUAAAAAUCUAAUUUAUCAUUCUCCUAUUGAAAAGGAAUAAGGAUGACAUGAAAUUACAAUUUCAUACAAUCCUUUCUCGAAACGAAAAAUAGUAAUUAAAGAUUAAUUUUUAAAUAAAAUUUGAUUUUGUUUUCAAAUGAUUUUUAAUUAUUAUUAUUUUAAACCCAGUUUUAAGGUUUAAUUUAUUUUUGGUUCAAAGUCAAUUUUUUUGGGGGGUUUAAAUUAGGGUCUAAAUUGAGUUUAAAGUUUAAAUCUAAGGUCUAGUUUGGAUGGACGAUGUGUUUACCUCCGUUGAGGUUAAAAACAACGGUAGCGGUGAGAUUACUAUAACGAUGAGAUUGGAUGCUGUAACACUAGGGUUAGAAACAACGGUGGGGGUGUGUGUUUGGAUUCAAACACAGUCGUAGCGGUGAUGUGAGAAUAUAAAAUGACUAUUAAGGAAAUUAGAUUAGAAAUAAUAUAUAAUAGAAGUUUUUUUAAUUAUUUAACAUUUACAAAAUUAAUAAAUGAUUAAAAAUUAUUGCAAUUGUAUUUAUUUUUAAUAAUUAUUUUAUUAAUAAAUAAUUUAAAAUGAAUUAAAACUUGAUAAAAAUUCAAAUAUUUAUUUUAUUUAAUAUUUCAAAAUUAAUCAUAUAUUUAAUUAUAGGGGCGAAUUCAUUAUUGAAAGAUUAUUGAAAUUAUUAAGCCUUUAGAAUAAUAAAACAUUAUCGAAAUAUAAAAUAAUGAAACAACUGUAAGAUGAGAAAGAAAAGAAAUAAUAUAUGUGUAAAAGAGGAACUGGAGUUGCUAAAUUUUUACUGGAUCUAAAGGCUCUAGUCUUUAUUUAAAGGUUCCCUUGGAUGCAAUUGGACUUCAGUAAGUCGGCUUUUUCGAGUUAAAAAAUUUACAGCUGAAAUGUUGGUAAACAUAAGAUUGUUUAGAAAGCAUUCUUCAAUGCGUUGAAAAUGUAUUUCACCUCAUUAGAGGCUUAAAAAUGAAGCUCAAUGUAUGGAGCACAAGUUACUUUUAGGGUUUUGAAAUCUUAACUUUAACUUCUAAGGAAAAAAUUAUACGAAAGCAGGUUAUUAAAAGAAAUACUUUAGCUUCAAGAAAAAAAAUUUUGAAGAUGAAAAAAGUCAUUAUCUCUUUUAUGAAAAUAAAAUAUAAAAAAUUGUUAUAUAUUAUUUGAGGACUAUAACGUUAAUAUGUAACAUUUGCAUAUUAACUUUAAUUUCUAUUUAUCUUAUCUUUAAUUAAAAAUUAGUGACUUGAGUAUUUAUACAUAUUUUACUUAUAUUUCGUUUAUAACUAAAGUCCAAUAAGCUUUAAUCGUAUUAGAUUGAUUUUAAUUUGGACUCACCUUUUAUUAUAAUAAAUAGUUAGAUAUAAUUAUUAUUACUAUUAUUAUUAUUAUUAUUAUUAUUAUAUAUAUGCGAGGUUCAUAUUAUCCAACAAUCAACCUCUUGGAUCAUAUAUAUUUUACUCAUACAAUGCAUCGGUUUGGAUGUAUGUAUUAACUAAAUUAUAUUAUGUCUUUUAUUCAAACUCUAUAUUAAUUAAAUUAAAAUUUCUCUAUUAAUUUAAAUAUAAAAUUAAUAAAAAAACCCAUUUUUUGAUAUUAAAUAAGUAAAAAAAUAUAAACCAUAUAUUUAAAUUAAACAAUAGCAAAAAUAGUACUAAUUGGUGGUAUAAUUCUUUGGCAAAAAAUAUUUAUAUAAAAAAUGUAAGAAAGUUAGUAGAAUCUUUUGGAAAAAAUAUUUAGAAAAAAAAUUGAAGAAAGUUAAUAGAAAGAUAAAAAAUUUAAUUGUUUUGGGUUAUUAAAUUGGAUAAAAAAAAAUCAGUAAUACAUGUUAAAAUUUAUUUUAAAAUACUUAUUUUUUUAAUGAAUUUAUUAAAAUUUUAUUUUAAAAAUGGGUCCACUUUCUAUAAUGGUUAAAAAUGUUGAGCUUGCAUAUAGUUAACACUAACGCUUGUUAGAAUUUGAACACACCAUUAAAUAAUGUUGGUUAAAAUUUGCUAUUAGUCCCUGUAAUUAGAAAAAGUUAUAAAUUUAAUUCUUAUAUUUUAUUUAGUUAUUUUUAGUCUCUGUACUUUUUAAAAUUUAGAAUUUUAGUUAUCACCAAAGAAAGACUAUUAAAUUCAUUAAGUAAAGUUCUACUAUUUCCAAAACUUGAUGCCUCAACCGUAUUAAAAUAUGUGUAAUGUCAUGUCAACGUAUUAUUUUCACAUAUUACUCAUUAAAAAUCCAGUUAAUGGAUUAUCAACUAUCAUUUGCGUUAAGACUAAAAUUUCAAAAUUUGAAAAGUAUAGAGAUUUAAAAUAAUCCAAUUGAAGAAAAUGAACUAAAUUUAUAAUUGUGCACAUAGUACUGGACUAGUAAUUGAAUUUGACCAAAUAAAUUUAAAUGCUACUGCUUGGACCAGGAAUAAAAUUUCAAAAUUUAAAAAGUACAGAAAUUAAAAAUUACCAAUUUAAAAAGUAAAGGAGCUAAAAUUGACCAAAUAAAAGUAUAUGAUUAAAUUCACAACUUUCAUAAAAUAUAAGCAUUAAUAGUAGAAUUUAACCUUCCUAAAAUAUGUGUAGAUUCUCUAAAACUAUAUACGUGUGUAUAAACUUAGCACAUAUUUAUUACUCUAUUUGUCACGUCCCGAAAUAUAGAGGAGUUAAUUGAAAUGGUUUAACAAGAAAUAAAUUAGGCUUAAUGUCUAAGUGUUAGAGAGUUCUCCCUAGAGACCCAAGUUCGAGCUUGUCAUAGCCAACACCCAGCCUAGUAAAAUAAUGUCCGUUUUGGGUGCACAUGUAGGGGUGUGCAAAUUUCGGGUAAAACCAAAUUAAUUCGGUUAACCGACCGAAUUCAGUUAGUCGGUCAGUUAACUGAAUUAAUUUGGUUGGGGGUCAGUUAAUAAUUUUUUAGAAGUUCAGUUAACGAUUAAUUGGGUUCAAAACCGGUCAGUUAACCAAAUUAGUCAAAUUUAAUAAAUAAUAUUAUAAUAUAUAAGUAUUCAGUCGGUUCAGUUACUUUUUUGGAAAUAUAAAUUAAUCAAUCGGUUAAAUCGAUUAAUUUUUUAUAUGUUUUAUACUUAUUUUAACCAAAAAUAAAAAUAUAUAUGAAUUUCGGUUAAUUCUGUUAAUCGACCGAAUUAACAGAAAAAGUUCGGUUCGGUUAAUUUUUUUUGAAAAAAUUUCGGUUCGAUUAACGGUUUAAAAGGAUCAGUUAAUUCGAUUAACCGAUUGAACACCCCUAUGCACAUGGCCCUCACGGCUUUGUUCUUGGGAGCACCCUUACACCCUCAAAAGGCAUCUUACCACUUAAGUGUUGCUACUCCUUUAUAUAGCUCAGGUCUCUCCUAUGCUUUGUUGAUAUGGGAUUCGCCUAGGGUGUUACAUUAAAAAUGCAAGCAAAGAGAGUCGAACUCGGGUCUCAUAGAUAAUUGCACUAUCUUUUUACUUUCCCUUAACCAUUAAGCCAAUAAUAAAUGUGGCGCCCCAAACUCGGUCAGGACGGUCCGACCCAAAUUUUGAACGUCACAUUAGCCACCAAAUUGACUCUCCGUUUAAACCACCGCAAAACACACCAAGGGACCAAUCACACCACACAAUUAAUCGUAGAAUAUUUAAUAAAAACAUAAUAUCAUGCUUCCGUUUCGCUACUCUGAUCAACAAUCAACAAUAAAACUAAUUCACAAUUUCACAUUUAACAAACAAUUACCUUGAAAACUUUAGUUAAACAUACAUGCAUGCAGUAGGGUAUUUUUAAAAAAGGCUAUAUUUGUAGGGACUUGAAAAACCGUUUAGUUUAAAAACAUAUAAUUAGAUUUAAAACGUAAUAUAUAGUAAUAUGUUGGGAAAAACUCCAUUUCACAAAGUUUAACAAUAGUAUUUAGGAUUUAACGUAUAAGUCUUUGUUUGGAAAAUUUAUUAAAGCAUCUUGCACAACCUCGUAACAUUAUUAAUUAAUUAGUUAGUAGACAUUUAACAGUUUACAUGACUUGACCAAAUUCUAUGUUACAUCUCAUGUAUACCAAGCACAUGUUUAUAUCCAAAUCACACAUAAAACAUCUAAGGCUUACCUCGAUGACUAGUGACUCUUCAAUAUGCAGUUACAAGUUAGUCCAACAAUUAUUCAAACCAAUUAUCAAACAAUCAUAAUCCAUCAUUCAUCCAUCUAUCUAACGCAAUGAUAAAGUUUUAAACCAAAAAAUUAAAUAGUCCAUAGUAUCCAAUUACAACCCAAAAAUUAUAAGUCUAACACUAAAUCCCAUAACUUAGUCCCACAUUGCCUUCCUCGUUGGGUUUGGGAACACAACGACAUACCUAGAUAUAGCCUCGAUUUGGUUCACUUGGAUGGCUCACUCCCACACCUCUUUACAAGCUAAGUCACUGCAAGAUUAUAAAAGAGUGGGUGAGCUUAUGAAAGCUCAGUAAGUGCUCAAACAUACUACAAAUAAACACAUCAGUUAGGUUAAAAGGGUGACAAACAAUAACGAUUUACAUAUUAUUGCAAUCUACACAAAAUAGUAACUCACACAACACAAUAGUUCUCAUACAAUAAGUAAUGCACAUAUAAUAAGUAAUUCGCAUAAAUUGGGCAGAUCACAUAAAUUAUCAAUUUGAACCAAACAUCUGUUCAUAUGAAAUAACAGUUCUUACCAAAUGAAAGCUCAUGCAAAAUAAUAGUUCAUUUGAAAUAUUAGUUCAUACUGAAUAACAAUUCAUGCAAAAUAACAGUUCAUGCUCUAUCAUAAUUCAUAUAUCUCAAAUAAUGAUAAAUUGACAUUUUUGUGAUUAUGAAGCAUAUGCAAAAUAACAGUUCAUGCCAAAUAUUGAAAUUUUUUAUUCAUCAGACUUUUCGAUAUCAAAAAUCGUUGUGUCACAGAAUGAGUCGAUCUAUGGAAGUUGAACUAGGCUCUGAUACCAAUUUGAUGGGGAUCGACUCGUAUAAACAACGAGAUAGUAAAAGUGAAGAAAAACAAACACAAUUUUUUUACAUGAAAAAUCCUCAAAGAGAGAAAAACCACGGGCAAAAGGGGUUUCAGCUUUUCACUAAAUUAGUAAACAAAUGAGAGUACAAUAUGGAGAAAAUAAACCUAAAUGUACGAAACGUACAUUAUCCAAACCCAAAAAAUAAAGCUUGAAAUCCCAAAAAGCAAACCGAUAAACAAAUUUCUAAAUCUCAUUGGGCACUCACAAAAGGGGUAUAACAUACUCUCCAUAAUUACCAUGAAACUCUCACCAAAACUCAUAUACAACUACAUCUUGUCUCCCAUUUAUGAUUGGCAUGUCAAAACAAGGAUACAAUGACCCCUUUAAAUAGGCUAAGAUUAAAGCUCUAAUCAUACUAAAAUAUCCCUAGAAUAAUCAAAGUUUAACUCGAAGAAGAAGUCUUGCUUGAAGUCUAAAAUACUACUGUGAAAUAGGAGAACAUGUCGUGACAUCAUGACAUCCCAAGUCGCAUUAUCACAACAUUGUGAUCCUCCUCAUCGCGACAUCGCUAUCUGCUUCUCCGAAAAUACAAGGCACACCCCCACACUAAGCACCCGAAACACUUUAUAAAGGUUGCUAAUGUGUUGCUUCACAGAUACGCUCUAGAUUGGCAUGUCAUCCUCUAAUAGCCCUCACUCUUCCUGACGUCUUAUACGAAUGAUAGAUUCCACUAGAGCACAUACGUAGCAAAAAUCUUAAAAUUAUUUAAGAAAACAAAUUUUGAAACAAUUAAAGAAAUAUAUAAAUUUUAUAUAAAUAAUUUUGAAGACUUUAAGUCCAUUUUAAAAUCGUUUAAAAGCAUUUUUAAACCAUUAAAAACAUUUUUAUGUGUGAAUUUUUUCGCCCUUAGUAUAGAAAUUUAUCAAAUUUGAUUGAAAUGACCAAACUAAUUAUUCCUAAAAAUAAAUAUAUGUUAUUUAUUAUUUCUAUGGUGUACUAUCCUUAAUGGUUUUUGCAAGUAAAACAAAAUGUGUAAGCAAAUAUUGGUUCAUUAAUUACCUAAUGUUUAAUUAAUAUUAAGUUGUAUUAUAUGGAUGGAUUAUAAUUCGAGAAGAUAACUUAUUUUAAUAGGUAAUCUAAAUUGUCCAUAGUCUGUAGAAUCAAAUUGAGCAAAUGAUUCAAAUAUUAGGAACUAUUAUGUUAUCUAUAAGCCCAGUUGAGGAGAUAGCUUGCCUUCGUUAUCGAAGUAGGAUAGCUUGCCUUCGUUACCGAAGUAGGAUGGACUCCCAUAAAUAGAGACAUAGAUAUGAUUCUCUCAAUUGAUAAUACAUUAGACAUAACCUAAGUUGAAUUUAUUCUAAAUUCGUUUAUGAAUUUAUUCACUAAUUUGUUUUGCCUUAAUUUUUACAUUUUUUUAAUCUAGGUCCUCUCUAAGUUUUCAUGGUGUAUACAUAAGGUUGUCUAAGGUGUUGUUCUGAAGGCCAAAACCUCUUCUGGUAAGGCUUUCAUCAUGCUAUCAAUAAAUUAAAAUGUGCAUUAUGUUUUAAGCAUUGAUUGUUUGCUAUAUUUUUUGUGAUAUAUCCAAGUAAUUAGUGGACUUAAUCGAGAUCAAGCUAUGGUCAUCACAUGAAUAUCCAUUGAAGACCAAAUGAUCGCCUUUCUUCUCUUUUUUAAUAUUUGAAAAAUAUGGGUUUAUUAGUAUUAAAGUAUGCCAUUAUUAUUUCAGCUUCUGUUCUGUGUAUAUAAAUAAACUAUUUUAUAAUAAUGUCCUAAGAAUAAUAUGAUUAUUCUUAAAAGGUCUUUAGUCGAGUAUUAUUGUGGGCUUGGACAACAAUAAUGCAUUAAGACUAACAUGUAGUUGAUUGAUGACAAAGUGUUGUCAUUAAUAUAGGGAUGUCGAAAUCAAUACAUGAGUAUAUGUUAGAGAACGACAUAUUGGACUGACCCGCUACGAGUAUAUUUCUUGGAUUACUAUGUAAUAGUCACAACAUUACUCAUAGUGAUAACUAUGUAUACGAUCUUUACACUUGAGAUCAUCAUUGUCCCAAGAUAGUGAGUCAUAUAUUUUGAUACAGUCAAAUGUCUACUGUAACAGGUUGUACUAGAAAGACUAAUGUUGGGUAUGACACAUUCUAUGUAGUGGGAUAUGAUUAAUCAAGAUAGGAUUUGUCCCUCCUCCAUAAUGGGAGCAAUAUCUUAGGCCACUUGGUGAAGUGAAACUAGAAAUGCAUGGUUAUGCUCAAAUAAGUUAAUAUGAGAUAUUACACUUAUUUGUUUAUUAUAGUCUACUUCGGGUAUCAAGAAACAUGAUAUUAGACUUUGCAAGUGUGACUACUUCAUGACUUGUGUCCAAUCGAGAUAUAAAGGACAAAAGGAUAUAAUACAUGAAAAUUUAUCAUGGAAAGGUUAUGUUGAACCACAACUUCUUGUAACUUGGGUAGUGAUGAUGCAUUACUAGAUGCCACUCAUUGCUUGUAACGUUAGAAGUAUUCUAGUAUUACUACCAAUAUUACAAUAGCCUACAGGGUCACACCCUAUGAUUGAAACGAACAGAAUCUAAACACAGUUGGUAUUAAAUUUAACUGUCACGAGAAUUAUAUUAAUUAUUGAAUUAAUUUAAUUUGAAAAUUAAAUAAUAAACACAAUAUAUGUACAAAUUCGUUGUACAAGAAUAGAGAGCAUAAUUAAAAUAAAUAUAUGAACUUGAUUCAUAUAAAUUAUUAAUUAUGAUCUGUUUACCAAAAUUAUUAAAAUAAAGUAUUAUAAUAAUUAAUUUCGGUCAAACAUAAAAAAAUAUGGAAAUUAAUAUCCUUUUGGAAAGGAUAUUACUGAUCGCGAUUAUUUCUUAGUGAUAAGUUUUAUAAAUUUAUAAUUAAUCGUUCUUGAAAACUAACUAUCACGACGAAGGCAAGUAAACCUAUCGAAUAGUAGUAUAGUUUAGGCAAGACCGGAUUGUCGAACCCAAAGGAACUAAAAGUACUAGUAUUAACUCUCUUUCUAUUAUUUAGCCUAAAAAUAAAGGGAUUUGUUUUAUCUAAAUUAAUUACUAAAAGUGCAAAAAGUAAAUUGGGGAAAACUUUUAGGAAAGACUGAUUGAUUGAGACAAUACCUAAGGAUAAAUCCACCUAGAUUUCACUUGUUAUCUGAAUCUGAAUUAGACGAUUUAUUCAUUUGACUUGAUCCAUAGAAAUCCCUAAGUUAUAUUAUUAUCACUCUCGAGACUAAUAAUGUCUAACCCUAGAUUGAUUAAUUGAAAUCUCUUUCUAAUUAACACCCUAAUGUUGCAUUAACUCGAUCUAUGGAUUCCUUUAUUAGGUUUCACCCUAAUCCGACAAAAUCUUGUCACCCUAUCUCUAGGCAUGCAAUCAACUCCGCUUAAUUAUGUUGGAUCUACUAUUAGAUAGGGACUUUUGCUCCUCUGAAUAAGCACAUCAAUAUUUGAAUCAAUAUCCUGGAAUAUUAAGACAAGAAACAUUCCUAAUUAAGAACAAGUCAAAUAUUUAUCAUAUAAUUCUGAAAAUAAUAACAAGAUCCGUCUUAGGUUUCAUUCCCCUUAGGUAUUUAGCGGAUUUAGUUUAUGAUUAUAAAAGAAAACAUCUCAGAAGAAUAAAUACAAAACAUAAAUAAAACCCAAAACUCCUGAAGGGAAGUUGAAGGAAGAUCUUCAGUCUUGAAGGAGAAUUCGGCUUCUGAGAUGGAUCAAUCGGCUUUCUUCGAGUAAUUCAUUGCUUCCUAUUCUGUGUGUCCCUCAAGUAUCUCUUCCAGGGUGUUAAUAUAGGCUUUAGAAUGCCUAAGAACCCUCAUAAGUGGCCUUUUUCGAAUAGAACUCGUCUUGGGCCCGAUAGGGACACGCCCGUGUGCGAUUGCUUCAAGCCAUGGUCAAGGUUGUUAAAUGGGUACAGGCAUGUGGUCUACCCAUGUAAGUCGUGUUUAGAGUCUGCCAAAUUAACACGGGCGUGUGGUCUACCCGUGUAAGGAACUCCAGGCUGUGUUGAUUCCCUACGUUAGCCCAUUUUCUCCUUUUUUGGCCUAUUUCUCACUCUUUUUACUCUCCUAUGCUCACCUAAGUAUAAAACAUGAAAUUAAAGGAUUAGGAGCAUCAAAUUCCAUAAAUCUAAUGAUAAUUCAUCCAAAAAUGUGCUAAGCAUGGGAUAAAAAUAUGUAUAAAUUAUGACUUAUCAAAUACCCCCACACUUAAGCAUUUGCUUAUCCUCAAGCAAAAUCCCAAUCACAAUUAAUAAUUCAUUUUUGUUAACUUAUAAUUCCUAUCAAUAAUAUCUCAAAACAAUCCAUAAGUAAUCAUACAUUAAGAAUUCAACUAUAAGAAAACUAAAGUUUCAAACAUUCUAAGUUGACGAUUUUAUCAUGAAAAAUAUAGGUAUCUCCCAUCAUCUAAGUAAUCACCUUUGAUUCAAAAUAUCACAGAGUUUAACAUCCUCACUAAGGAUUCACUCAAAUCACUUGAGGUGUUUAAGGACAACAAGUUUAGCACUCAAUAGUCCAUAUGAAAAGUUAUUACCAUAGGCUUGCGUGAGAAUCAAAUCUCCACCACUAUGUAUUGAAAUGAUACAUCAAUCAAAAGGUCUUUAGAGGGUUGUAAUGUGGCUUUGGUUAGAGGGUGUGGUCACAAGCUAAAAGAGAAGGUUAGAAUCAAGAUUGAAUUAAACAAUUACCUAACUAGAAAAAUACUAAAAAUGAUAAAUUACAUUCCUAGAAUUAAGCUUUUCUUCAUGAAAUAUGGAAUUAGAUACUCAAGCUCAAUAAACAAAGAAUUAUUACUAACAUGUAUGUAUAUAAUUUUUUUUUUAAGAACAAGUCAAAUAUUGAGAAAUUUGCUAAAAAUAAAACAUAGCUAAGCAAUUUAUUCAAAUCAAAUCUAGAUAAAAAUAUGGAUCAAAUUAAUCGAGGGGAUUUCAACAAUAAUGGUUAUGGGUUAAUAUUGGGGGUAAAUCAAUGAAUGGCUUGUUAGGCUCAAGAGGGUUCACUAAGGGUUAAUUAUGAAGGUAGGCUUUUAUGGAGUGAAUGGGUUAAACCUAAGUGCCUUUAUCAUCUUGACAUAUUAAAUCUAAGGUGUGGUCUUGACAUGCAUAAUCAAGCAAGUUCUAGAAUAACAAUUCAAUACUUAUGCACUCAUAAUAAAAGUGAGCAUGAAAGAAGUAGUAUAUGCUCUAAAGUUCAAGAUCUCACAAAAAUUAUGGCUUUUUGAUAUUAAACCUGUGAAUUUCAACUUAGGAUAAUACCUAAACUUGGGGAAACAACCUAAUUUUUUUUUAAUUCUCAAAAAUCAACUUAUCAUGCUUGAUUCUUUAAUUCCUUAAAGUUUAAACCAUCAAUGCAUAAAUACCUAUGUUUUAAUUCAAGACAUAUCAAUGAAAAUCAUAAAUUAAUAAAAAUUCAUUCUAAUAAUGCUAUGAGAAGAUCACAUGAGAAUAAGACAAAAUUCAGGGAUUUUCUAAUAAUGAUAUAAGUAAUCCCCUCACACAUAAGAUGUACAUUGUCCUCAAUGUACAAAGAUAGAUUUACUGAAAAAUAUAUAUAUAAGAUCAUAAGAUAGGGAAAGAAGUGAAACUUCCUGUAUGUGUGGAUGAAAUCCUUGAAUUGGAAUAUUGGAAAGUAAUCGGCUAAGGCAAUGGUGAGCUUGGAGGAGGAUACUUCAGUGGUGGUAGAGGUUGGGUUCCACAACCAUAGUGUCCAGCGAAGAGGUUAUCGUGGUGGUCAGGCAGGACAUGGCAGUCGUGGAGAACCUUUCCCAAUGGAGUUGCAAAUUCCUAAGUAAUAGUGAGCUUGGGAGCUCUUUAUAACUGCGAUAUAAUCAAUAACUCUUUAAGAAUUAUAGAGUAGCAUGAUUACUCAUAAAGAAAUAAUCGAACAUAUAAAUUACUUUAAAAAUUUUAAAACCUAAAAAUGAAAUAAAAUAGUAUUAAAAGAAAAUAAGAUGAAAAAUACUUAAAAAAAUAAAUAAAGAUAAAAGAAAAUAAAAAUAAUAAAUAAGUCUUUGAAAAAUCUUCAUCGUCAGAUGGUUAACGAGGUGGGGGUGGCGAUGAGAUGUGAAUGUGCUGACAAAUCUGAUGAAGAGUAGCAUCAAUGUGAUCAAAUCGUUGAAAACAUUGCUGCUCAAAUCGAGUGAGGCACUCAAAGAUGUCAGAAAGUGAAGCAGCCGCAUGAACUGGGCGGUGGAUAGGUGGUGGUUGAGAUGGUGCAUCCUCGUGCUGUGGAGGGACAUCAUCAGUAAUGUCCUGUAGGUCCUCUUACUCAGCUGUCUAGACGAGGCAGUACUGGGAAGGAUCAGUUCCAUGUCGCCGCUCGAUCAUCUUUAUAUGAAGCAUACUUGAGAUGCCCUGUGGGGUCAUCUGUCCGAUGAGAGUGGGGGAGGAUGCUUGCGCCGCCGUGUUGAGAAGACUUGCUAGGUGAGUAACAUAAGGGUCAAUGGAGAUGACUCCUUUCUUUUUUCGCUCCAUCUGAUGGCGAAUGGCGAGGGCUAUGAAAUAGGUAAGGUCGAAGACGUGCCUAUAUGCCAUACUCCAUAAAAAGUAGGCAUCGUGAGUGUUGACGACGCCGGUGCUCUCUCGCCACCUUGUUAAGGUGUGAGCUAGAAUGGCAUGUAAGUACCUUAAAGAUGGGGCGAGCGCCGAUGCCUUGGAACGACUAAGGUCAUAGGUGGCCGAAACAGGGACUAGUGCAUUCCAGCACUUUGAGGGUGAAUAGUAGAUGUGGCGAUAGAGGGUGUCGAAGUUAAGGUCAUCCAUAAACUUCUCCGUAUAAAUGCCUAGUGUGACACUGAACUCAGGCACACUUAAUUAGCGAACUAGGCCAUCAAGACAGAACUGGACCGUUCCAGGAUCAUCGAACUCUGUCAUAACGAUUUGGAAAUAGAAAGUCGAACAAAGUUCCAAUGUGAGCUCGAGGUACGUCGGCUCGAUGAUCUAAAAGAAGAGCCCCCAUGGGUUAGUCGUCAGGAGGUCUCAGACCGCGUCAGCCAUUUGAAUUUGUUCAAGCGUGGCCCAAUCAAUGCAGCGGCCCACACUUAGGGGCCGGGCUCGUAACAUUUGAAAUAGUUCCUCUUGGUUCCAUAGCAGGAAUUGGAGGAAUGGAUGUCUUAUCUCUGUAGUAGGAACCGAUAAAGAUGACGCUCCCUUUUGUUUUUUCGAGGUUGGGAUGGCAGUCUUCUUCCCACGUGGGUUUGACAUAAUGUACCUACAGAAGAUAAUUUUAUGAAUUUAAGUCGAUAUGAACAAAUAAUUAUCCCAACAAUGACAUAGGAGAUGGGGUUAAAAGCGAGUUGUUAAUUUUAACUAAAUGAUUACUAUAUAGAAUAUGAAUAACAUGGACAAAAUGAUGAUAGUAGAAUAUGAAUGCAAAAUAUAGUGAGUGUUCAUAACUAGCCUAAACAUAAAAUUAUCAUAUGAUGAAUCAAAUUAACAAAAUUAUAGCAAAAUCAAAAUAGAAAAAAAUAGGAAAAAAUAUGAAAAGAACUUUAGAAAUAAUAAUGGUGAAUAAAUCAAAUUUAAACGAUAAUUAAGGGGUAAAAAAAGGGAAAACCAGCAAUGUUGGAUGGUGGUAGUCGAAGUGGUGCGAUUUCCAACGAUGGUGAGGGAUGGGAGUUGGCCACGGGCGUGGACGAGGAGGCCGUGUGGUUUGGUAAGUGGAUGGGGAAGAAGAAGAGGGAAAGAAAGGGAAGAAAAGAGGGGAAAAAAAGGAAAAAAGGAAGAAGGGGAAGGAAAAAGGGAAGAGAAAGAGAAAGAGAAAGGAAAAGAAAGGAAAAGGGAAAAGAGAGGGGAAAGGAGAAGGAAAAAAGGAAGAAAGUGUGGCUAGAGGUGGCCCGUCGAUGGGGGGGAGGAAGUUGCGGUGACUAGGGUUAGGGAUUGGGGAAGGCGAUGAUGAAUAGUUAGGGGUUAUAUAGAUAUUGGGGCACACGGCCAUGGGGCACGCCCUUAUGCCCUUAUGCCCUUAUUUCAGCUCGUGUUUGUCGUGUUUUCCAAAUUUGAGUGCGUUUAAAAUUCAACCAUGCCCGUGUUCUUUGGGCAUGUUAGUGCACAUGGCCGUGUCGCGUGGCCGUGUACUGCUUCGUUCGUUUCUCUUACACUCGUGUUAAUUUGACAGGUUCAAACACGAGUGUUUGGCACGGGCGUGUCGCACGCCCAUGUUACUUUUUUAGGUUCUACCACGGAUUAUAGACAUGGGCGUGUCGUACGCCUGUGUUGAUUUGGCAGACUUGCCCACAGCCAUGUCGCACGACCGUGUCAACUUAUCGAAUCCCGUGUUUUGAGAGAAUUUUGCUAUGUUUUCACAUGGCCGUAUCACACGUCCGUGUCUCCUUCCAUAGUGUGAGCACGGCGUAAGGCACGCCCGUGUAUCUGGCCUUGUGGAUUUGGCAAACCUGUGUUCACAGACUCAGUUAGUAAUUAGAUGUUAAACACUAAAAUUUAAAGAAAUUAAUGCCGUUAGUGCUCGGGUUGCCUCUCGAAAAGCACUUAUUUAUAGUCUAAGCUCGAGUUACCUCGAUUUCACGUGGUCAUAGUGGUUCGAGGAGUUUACACUUCCCAUUCCUGCUAUCAGUUUUAUCAAAAUAAGGUUUAAGACGAGUACUAUUUACCUUGAAAGUGCCGAAUUUAGAAUGAGUUACCUCGACUGUACUGUAUGGGAAGAUGUUAAGCACCGUAAAAGGGAUCACUCCAUUAGGUUCAGAAGUGGCAAUACGAGGGUCUGCUGCACCUAGUAGUACUUUGUCUUCAACCUUAAGUUGAUUUGGUGAAACAUUGAGUCUGUCAUGGCGUGGUUUCGGUUUAUCAUGUGUUCUCAGUUUCUGUGUCUGCCAUUCAUCUAAUUCCUUGAUCUGUAGCCUUCGUUCUUCAUAGAUGUGUCCUUUGUUGUUACUUGAACAUGGCUCAUAUAUGGUCUUCAGACAUGAUUACUGCAAAGAAGGUUGCAUCACAUGAUCAGUAUUAGUAGCACGAUUUAUACAACCACCCUCACUAUUCGAUGUGUUACUCGAGUUACGAGCUUGAAGAGUGAUUGUUUUAUCACCCACACGAAGUAUGAGUUCACCUAUACCAACAUCAAAAUUGUUCUAGCAAUUGCUAAAAAGGGUCUUCCUAAAAUUAAAGGUAUUUCACAAUCCACGUCUAUGACUUGAACAACAAAAUCAAUUGGGAAUAUAAAUUUGUCAAUUUUAACAAGCACAUCUUCAAUGAUACCCCUAAGAAAUCUAAUAGUUUUAUUUGCCAAUUGAAUGCUCAUCCUAGUUUGUUUGGGUUUCCCAAGACCUAGUUGUUUAAACAUUUUGUAGGGCAUGACAUUAAUGCUAGCCCCUAAAUCAGCCAAAGCAUUGUUAACUUUUAAACUACCAAUUAAGGAAGGAAUCGUAAAACUCCCUAAAUCUUUUAAUUUUUUGGGUAGCUUAUUCUGUAAAAUAGCUGAGCAAACUAUGUUCAACUCCACAUGCGGUGCCUCAUCCAACUUACGCUUAAUUGCUAAAAGCUCCUUUAAAAAUUUAAUUGCGUUUGGCAUCUGUGAAAGAGCUUCAAUAAACGGUAAGUUAAUAUGUAAUUUCAUUAAUAAUUUAAGGAAUUUACCAAAUUGUUCAUCCGUAUGGUCUUUCCUUGUCGCAUUGGGGUAUGGCACACAAGGUUUGUCCUCUUUACUUACUGGUUUUCGCUUACUGUGGUCCACCUCACCUGUUUCUUUACUUGCCAUGAUUUCUUACCUCGGUUCUAGUUCAGGUUCGACUAACCCCUCCUUAUCUUGAACAGUAAUCGCAUUGAGUUGUUACCUUGGGUUAGAUUCAGUAUUGUUCGGCAAGCUAGCCUAUCUGAGUUUCGAACCCUUGGAUCGACGCUUGUUGGUUCUUAAGUGCUGUCUCAAUAUUCUGAAAACGAGUUUUUGACACCAAGAUGAAUUUCGUUAGCAUCUCCUCAAGGUUCGGCUUAUUUUCCUGUUGGUAAGGUGGUUGUUGAAAACCUGGGGGAUGUUGUGGCCUUUGAUUUCCUUAGCCACCCCACGAGAAAUUGGGCUGGUUCCUCCAAGCUGCAUUAUAAGUGUUAUUAUAUGGGUUAUUUUGAGGUCUAGAGUUAUUACCCAUAUAGUGGACUUGUUCCUCCUUAGUGCUAGGAUUGAAGGGUGGAUAAUCUGGGUUUGCAUUCCUCCAUUUGAGUCGCACCUCAUCACUGGAUGUACCUGAGUAGAACCACAUACACCAUAAAUCUUUUUAUUCAAAAGUUUUACCUGGUUUGAUAGCAUAGUAACCAUGUCGAAGUUGAAGACACCAGCUGCUUUCGUCGGCUUUGUUCUCAUGACUUCCUACUGAUAGUUAUUCAGUGACAUUUCUUCAAUAAAUUCAUAAGCCUCUUCAGGUGUUUUGUUGUUUAAUGUUCCACCGACGGCUGCAUCGAUAAGUUGCCUUGUUGAGGGGUUCACACCGUUGUAAAAUGUCUGAACUUGUAGCCAAAGGGGUAACCCAUGGUGAGGGCACUUUCUCAACAGAUCCUUGUAUUUCUCCCAUGUAUCAUAGAGUGUUUCUAAAUCCAUCUGCACAAAAGAAGAGAUAUCAUUUCGUAACUUAGCAGUUUUAGCCGGAAGAAAAUACUUAAGUAAAAUUUUUUCGGUCAUUUGUUCCCAAGUGGUGAUUGACCCUCAUGGUAACGAGUUCAACCACUGUUUAACUUUGUUCCUUAACGAAAAGGGAAACAACCGAAGAUGAAUGGCAUCAUCAAAAACGCCAUUGAUUUUAAAAAUGUUGCAGAAUUCUAGAAAAUUCACCAAAUGAGUGUUUGGGUCCUCAUCCUACAAACCAUCAAACUGAACAAACUGUUGUAUCAUUUGAAUUGUGUUAGGUUUCAGUUCAAAAUUAUUUACAGCAAUAGCAGGCCUAACUAUACUCGAUUCGGCUCCUGUUAAAUUAGGUUUAGCAUAAUUAUACAUAGUACGAGGAGCAGGAUUUUGAUUUACUCGGUCGGCGAUAGCCACAGGAGGUAACUGAUAAUUUUGAUUAUCAGCCAUCUCCUCGGUUACGGUUUGAAUAUCGUCCUCUUACUCUUCCUCAAUGUAUUGUAGGCUUCACCUUAUUUCUCUUUGGUUUCUGCGAGCUGUGCUUUUAAUCUCACUAUCGAAAAAUAAUUGACCUGACGGGUUUCUUCUAGUCAUAAAUUAUGAAAACCUGCCAGAAGAAAAUAAAAGAAAAUUUAGUAAUAUAAAUAGAAAUUAAAUUAAAUUGCAGUAAAAUAAAUGGCUAAAUUAAUAAAAAUUAAGCGUUCCUAAUAUCUUAGUUCCCCGGCAACGACACCAAAAACUUGUUUGUGAUUAUUUCUUCGUGAUAAGUUUUAUAAAUUUAUAAUUAAUCGUUCUUGAAAACUAACUAUCACGACAAAGGCAAGCGAACUUAUCGAGUAGUAGUAUAGUUUAGGUAAGACCGAAUUGUCGAACCCAAAGGAACUAAAAGUACUAGUAUUAACUCUCUUUCUAUUAUUUAGCCUAAAAAUAAAGGGAUUUGUUUUAUCUAAACUAAUUACUAAAAGUGCACAGAAAGUAAAUUGGGGAAAACUUUUAGUAAAGACUGAUUGAUUGAGAUAAUACCUAAGGAUAAAUCCACCUAGACUUCACUUGUUAUCUGACUCUGAAUUAGACGAUUUAUUCAUUUGACUUGAUCCGUAGAAAUCCCUAAUUUAUAUUAUUAUCUCUCUCGAGACUAACAACGUCUAACCCUAGGUUGAUUAAUUGAAAUCUCUUUCUAAUUAACACCCUAGUGUUGCAUUAACUAGAUCUAUGGAUUCCCUUAUUAGGUUUCACCUUAAUCCGGCAAAAUCUUGUCACCCUAUCUCUAGGCGUGCAAUCAACUCCGCUUAAUUAUGAUGGAUCUACUCUUAGAUAGGGACUAUUGCUCCUCUGAAUAAGCACGUCAAUACCUGAAUCAAUAUCUUGGAAUAUUAAGACAAGAAGUAUUCAUAAUUAAGAACAAGUCAAAUAUUUAUCAUAUAAUUCUGAAAAUAAUAACAAGAUCCGUCUUUGGUUUCAUUCCCCUUAGGUAUUUAGGGGAUUUAGUUCAUGAUUAUAAAAGAAAACAUCUCAGAAAAAUAAAUACAAAACAUAAAGAAAACCCAAAACUCCUGAAGGGAAGUUGAAGGAAGAUCUUCAGUCUUGAAGGAGAAUCCGACUUCUGAGAUGGAUCAAUAGGCUUUCUUCGAGUAAUUCCUUACUUCCUACUCUGUGUGUCCCUCAAGUAUCUCCUCUAUGGUGUUAAUAUAGGCUUUAGAGUGCCUAAGAACCCUCAAAACUGGCCUUUUCCGAAUAGAACUCGUCUUGGGCCCGACAGGGACACGCCCGUGUGCAAUUGCUUCAAGCCAUGGUCAAGGCUAUUAAAUGGGCACGGACGUGUGGUCUACCCGUGUAAGUCGUAUUUAGAGUCUGCCAAAUUAACACGGGCGUGAGGUCUACCCGUGUGAGGAACUCUAGGCCGUGUUGAUUUCCUACGUUGGCCCAUUUCUCUAUUUUUGGCCCAUUUCUCACUGUUUUUACUCUCCUAUGCUCACCUAAGAAUAAAACAUGAAAUUAAAGGAUUAGGAGCAUCAAAUUCCAUAAAUCUAAUGAUAAUUCAUCCAAAAAUGUGCUAAGCAUGGGAUAAAAUAUGUAUAAAUUAUGACCUAUCAAUUACAAUGUGAUAUUUUCAUAUAUAUUCUGGCACCAAAAAGGGGAUUCUGUUUUUUUAGGGAAUAUUAAAUAAAAAGAAAUGAAUCAUAAAAUAAAUUCCUAGGGUGCAGAAAAGUAUUAACCAACAUUAACCAAAAAAGAAAAAGAACUUAGGUCUAAUAGCCACAUUUCUUUUUAGAAGAACUCUUUGAAACAUUCAGUAAGAGUUUUUUUCAUUCGUUCGCAACAGGGUGGAGUACGUAGAGGUCGGGACGAUUCUGUUGCGACUUUGGAUCGGCAGCAUGCGAAAGGGAUUAAAACAGCAGUGGUUCCUUCCUAUUUUUUAGAGUACAAAAGGUAAUCUUUCAAACAUUUUCUUCCUGAUUUGUUCCUCGUGCAUGGAUUCCUAGUUUGGAUUGUUAGAAUAAUUUUUUAGCUAUGCCACGGGGCGUACUAGUGACCCAACAAUCAGAGCUUUAAUCCUUUGGGAACUCUGUAAUUUGGAAAGGGUGGUAAAUUAUGCCCUUCACUCCUUGCCAUCAAAUAAAAGCUAAAUCAUCUUAUUCCUAUAUCUAGAAAGGCAUUCUAAAAGAAUGAGAUUUUUACAAUAGAGAUAAAGAUGUUCAAAUGUGAAGUUGGAAGAACCAUGGGAUUGACACUUUUCAUCCAAGCAACGUGUUGCAUAUGGCGAGUUUCAAUCCUUCUCAAUUUCAAUAUUAAGCAAAUUAGUCACUCUAAAAAAAAUCUGACCAAUUUAAUUCUUGUCAGUUUCGAAAGUGGACAUAUAACGACAAUUACUCACAACACUAAUGUUUUUCAUCCAUUUCAAAUAAUUUGAUUGGUACAAUAACAAAUUUAUCUCUUCAAGUUUACACAUUCUAUCUAUUUAUAUAUAUAUGGCGCUAAAUUUUUUUUACAUAUAUUUUUUUGAACUUUUUAGACUUUUUAAAAUUUUAUACACUUUUUUCAAGUAAUUAUUUUUAGAAUCAAAACCAAAUUGAAAGAAUACAUAAACAUUGAGGCCUUAAUUUAUUAUUAUAUUAAUCAAAAUUAUGCACAAUUUAUAGGAAACAUUAAUUGUUGUGAUUAAUUAUCCUUGGUUGCUCAUUUUUUAAUUUGAUAGGGAUUAUAAAUCGCUCUGAUUUUUUUAGAGAGACUAAUUUAAUCAAUAUCAAAAUUAAGAGAGAUUGAAGAUGUGUUUUUAAAAAAACUAAUAUAUAUAUACAUAUAUAUAUUUCGUGGUUUACACUAGAGGUGUCUAUGGGUCGGGCCGAGUCCCAGUUCCAAAAAUUUUUCAAGCCCAGGCCUAUUUUCAAAUCAGCUCGACCCGCCCAAAAAGCCCAUUUCACUAUUCAUAAAAUAAUAAAAAAUUAAAAAUUUUAAUAUUAAUUAAUAUUAUGUAUACUUUUAUAUUUAAAUUUAAAUUACAAAUAUUUUUAUUAUUUAAAUUUAAUUCAGGCCCAGGUCAACUCGAUGUGAGAAAAUUCUUGUCCAAACUCGACCCUAAUCAAGUUGAGCCUAUUGGGCCAAAAGGUGGGGCUGUUAGACAAGUCUAGCUUCUAGUCGGCUAAAGGACAAACAAAGAGAGUGGCAUGCCAUUUUAGCCCUUUGAUGACAAUUUGCCAACUCAUCAUUUGUUUCAAAGUUAUAAGGAAGUGUUGGGGAUAAACCCAGUUAAACAACGAACAUUUAAAAUAACGAAGAAAUUGAAAACAUUGAACACAAAUAUUUUAUGUGAAAAACCCCUUCGAAGAUGAUAAAAAAUCACGGUCAAAGAUAAUUUUACUAUAAUGAAAAAAACAAAAAUACAAAGAUGGAGAUAAAACUAAGCCCCAAAACCUGAAAUAAGAACCCUCGAUGUAAUGCUCCAAAUUUUUUGUUUUCGGCUUUUUACGAUUUUUGGGCUAUAAAAUUUUGGUUCGUGUUAUUUUGGCUUAAACGUAUGUCGGGUUAAGUAAUUAUGAGCUCUGGGGUGUGUUUGGGAGGUCCCAAGUUCAAGCGUUUACUUAGGCUAAAUUUUGGGUUUAUUUGAAUAAAGCUUGACUUGAGGUUAGUGGACUUAUAAGGAAUUGAGGGUAAAUACUUAACAGUAUGGGCUUGUUGGUCUAAUGGUUAAAUGGAAAGGAAAUUAUGCUUAGAGUCAAGGGUUCGAUUCCCUAUACAAGCGAUGGGAUUAUUUUGCUGCAAGUUUCAGUUAUGUGUUGGGCUUAGUUAAAUUUUGAGUUGUGGCCUUUAGGGAAAACCUAGGGUUUUCCUUUAUUUCCUUCUUUCUGGACAAAAAUUUGUCUUUGCCACCUUCUUUUCUAAAAUUCCCUUUGCUACCGUUUUCUCUUCUCUUUUCCCCCUUCUCCGUUGUUUUCUUCUUUUUUUGUUGAUAAGCUUAGGCGUGUUCAAGCGGGUAUAUCGAUUCGGUAAGUUUGAUUUUAAACAUAGUUAAGUGAAUUUUUUUGGAGUUUCUUAAGAGAGAUUUUGGUUGUUGUUUAGAAAGUAUUCAAGGAGCGGUGGAUCAAUAACCGAGUUCUAAACAGCAAAGAAACACCGUUCUUUGUCGAAAGGAAGUAGAUCUCGUAUUUCGAGUUUUAUCCAAUCUUAGGUAAAUCAAUUUAAGUGACUGAUUUAGCCUUGAUUUUGUCAAUCUUAGGCUUUGGAGUGCUCGUGGUUGGAUUAGCAGCAAAAACGAACUAGGUGUGUACUCCGAUUGUACAGAAAACGAGUUUCAGCGAAAGCUAAAAAUGUAGCCUGUCGACACCACACGGGCGUGUGGUCUGCCCGUGUGGUAGCUUGCAUCGCAAGACACGGGCGUGUGACAGACGAGCCAGGCCAUGCGUGCGCCACACGAGCGCGAUGGACACGAGCGUGUGAGGCUGGCGAGGCUGUGUGCGAGGCACGGGCUCGACCAUUUGGGCCGUGUAGACCGCACGGACAUGUGGUUUACAUGGGUGAACCACACGAGCAUGUGGGUCUUAGGCCAGACCGUGUGAUCUACACGGCAAGGCUAAUAUGGGCUGUGUGGGCCACACGGGUGUGUGGGCCCACACGAGCAGGGCACACGGACGUGUGAGCCCAAUUUUGUUUGAAAUGUCUGUAAGGUUGCACGGGUCGCCUAAGUCGACUGUGACCUGUCUGUAGGGGCAGUAAGCGUUACUUGAACCCCUUUCUCUGAUUGAUUACUGAGCUGUAUGCAACAGCAUGUUAUUAUACGCAUAUGUAUUUGUCUGAUUCUGUAUAUCUGUUCUGUCAUGAUCUGAUAUACGCAUAUAAGCAUGUCACGAUAUUUAUGAUGCAUUGCAUUGGGUUGGGUUUGCUAUGAAGAGAAGGAAAUCUGAGAGGUGAUAAGCCUGUUUUCUGGCAGCGAUGCUGCAUUUAUCUUUAUGUACUGUUUCACGGUACCAUUUGGUGUGUAGGGCUGGAUGGGUGAGUGUAUCCCAAUACUCGGUGUGUAGGGCCGGGUGGGUCGAUUCUAUCCCCACAUGGUGUGUUGGGUUGGACGAAGAUGGUAUGCAGGGUUGGUGGGCAUGACUUAUGAUUCUAAUUUCUGAUAUCUGAUCUGUUAUGCAUGUUAUUUCUGCAUUCUAUUAUUUGUCCGAAUGCAUGCUGUUUGUGGGAUGUACACACUGAGUUUGCGAAAACUCACCCCUUUAUUUAUUUAUUUAUUUUAUGUCAGGUAAUCCUUAGCAGUAGAUGGAUCGGUGUGACGUAGGGCUCGAUGGUGACCACUGAUAAACUCUUAUGGAUUUUGCGUAACACUUAUUUCAUCAGUUUUAUUUUUAAUAUUUAUUUUUGGGAUUUAUAUGUCUUUGGAUUUGAACUAUUUGUUUUAAGAUUAUUUUAGGGAUUUUUAAAUUGUCAAGUUUUGAUUUACGAGUUAAUAUUGUUUUAGCUUCUGCGUUAAUGAAAUGAUUUCCCUUAAUAAACUGUAAUGUCGAUUUCAUGAUUUAAGUAAAAUAAUAGAUUAAUCGAUUUUAACUUGCUAAGGUUUUCCUAAAAACACUCACAUAUGACACCGCCAGAUUCGGCCAUGACGUCUAGGCCGGGUUUGUGGUGUUACACUCGAAACAUAAAUACAAAAUUCUCUGAAAGCUUGCAAAAGCUAAUACCUAAAUGUGUAAUGGGUUAUCUUUCUAGGGUGGAAAAUGGACUAUUUAUAGACUAAAUAUGUAGGUUAAAUAAUAAUAAAAUAACCUACACUAAUCAGAGUUUAAGUGGGAAACAAAAAAUAAAAUUUAACUAGGAGAAGAAAAGUCAAAAUAUACGAGGUAUAACUCUACGAAUCUCCACCUUAACUUAUAUUUCCACAAUGUCUUUUUUGCCAAAGCCUACCACUGGCUUAUCUCAAACUAUGCAAGAUAUUAACUAAGUUGAAGCUAUGCUUAGAAGCUGGAAGUCUUCUAGUCUUCGACUUAUGCACUACCAAAUCUAAAUUGACCCGGGUCUAGUUUCCAUGAACAUAGUACGCUAUCAUUUCAAAACCUGCAUACAAAAGAGAACCUCUCUUGUACGAAACGGUCAUACCUUUUUCCCCCUAUGAUCAAGUCGUCUCCGCUUCAAACUAGUCGACUUCAACUCUUUAAUAGAUGAGAGAUGUCAUGUUUCACCUGUCAUCGUUGAUCCUUCCAAAACAUAAAGACUGUCAACCUAUUUACCUUUCAUCUAAACGAGAGCCCCAUAGGAUACCAUAAUGUUGCUUGACUCGAUGUUAAUUCUAUAACACUUUGAGUCCAAAAUUCCCAAGGAGAUGAGAUUUUUCUUUAAGUCAGACACAUGUCUAAUAUCUAACAAUGUCUUAAUUAUCCCAUCGUACAUCCUGAUUUAAAUAGUACUAAUAUUGAUUACUUUAGUAGAUGAACCAUUCCUCAUGCAUACAACUCCACCUUUAAUUGAGCUAUAUAUGGAGAACCAAUCCCUGUUGGGACACGUGUGGAAAAAAACAUCCCAAAUCCAGGAUUCACUUGGAUGUAACCUUGGAGCUUUCACUUGUUGAUACCAACAAGAAAUCAUCACCCUUGUCAUUGGCCAAAUUAGCUCUAGCUAAAUCUUCAUUGUUGCUGUCAGUAGCCCUUUUAUUUCACAAUUCGUAAUAAUCUACCUUGACGUGACCUAACUUCUUACAAUGGCGACAUCUCUUGUAUUGUUUCCUUGAUGCUACCAAAAUCGAGACUUACUUAUCUGACUUGCUAUCCGAACCAAACUCAUUGUCGAGUUUGUUUUUACUCAAUAGAUAGCCUUUCACAUCCUCGAAUGAAAGAUUAUCUCUAUCAUAAAUCAAGGUCUCCUUGGAAGACUUGUAUAAAGAGGAUAAAGAAAACAAUAAUAGCAAAGCCUGAUUUGCAUUGUCAAUCUAAAUCUCAACAUUUUUUAAAUCAUUCAAAAGAGUAAUAAAUUGACUAAUGUGACCUCUAAGGUGCUCACUUUCGUCCAUGCGGAAUGUGUAUAGACAUUGUUUCAACAUCAAUCAGUUAGUUAGAGACUUUGUCACGUAGAGGGUUUCUAACCUUUUCCAUAAAGUAAAUGUUGUUUUCUCCAUCAAAACCUCUUGCAACACAUUAUUUGUUAAACAUAAUUAAAUCAUGGAUAAAGAUUUUUUUAUCUAACCUAUCCCAUUCUAGUUUAUCCAUGUCUGCAAGCUUCCUUCUCUGUAAUGACAUUCUCAAGAUUUCUCUAAAUUAGAAUUGUCAUCAUUCGAACUUGCCACAAAUUGAAAUUUGUGAUGUCAUCGAACUUAUCAAUAUCAAAACUUGUUGCCAUCUCUGAAGGGUUGAAUGAGAAAAUCAAACUAGCUUUGGUACCAGUUUGUUGGGGGAUAAACCCGAUUAAGAAACAAACAAGUAAAAUAAUAAAGAAAUUGAAAAGAUCAAACACAAAUAUUUUACGUGGAAAAACCCUUCUGAAGAAAAUUAAAUAUCACGAGUAAAGAUAAUUUCAUUGUAAUGGCAAAAACAAAUAGUACAAAAAUGGAGAUAAAACUAAAUCUCGAAACCCGAAAUAAGAAUUCUCAAAAUAUAAACACAAAAUUCUCUGAAAGUUUGUAAAAGUUUGUAAAAGCAUAUACCUAAAUGUGUAAUUAGUUGUCUUUCUAGGGUGGAAAAAGGACCUGUUUAUAAACUAAAUUUAUAGGUCAAAUAAUAUUAAAAUAACCUACAAUAAUCUGAAUUUAAAUAUGAAGCUAAAAACAAAUUUUAACUAGAAAAAUAAAAACUGAAAAAUACUAGACAUAAGUAUAGUUUAUCAUGCAUAUUGUAACAUUGAAAAAACAUCAUUUCUACCUGUUUUCCAAUUAGUGCAAUUUUUAUACAAUUAAAAUAAAGCUAAUGGAUAAAAAUACCAUUAGUAAAAAAACGAAAAAUUAAUUAAGCUUAAAUUUACAAUCAAUUCAAGUAUUGGGUCCUUUCGUUUAUAGAAAUUAUUAUUGACUAACUUAACCGUUAACGGACGCUAACAUCACUAAUAGAAGUAAUGCGCAACUAACACGUAAUAUGUCAUUUGAAUUUUUUUCUAAAAAUUAACAAUCUUAAAAAAUUAAUAAAAAGUUCUAAAAAAAAACUGUAUGCCAAGAAUGAAUGUGGACAAAUGAACAUUUAAGUUCAUCUGAAAAUAGACUAUUAUUUGGCCAGAGUCAAUUCAAAUAUGAAUUAUUUGAAAAUCAUAAAAAUAUUAUUUAGAAAUCAUAAAAUAUAUUUAAAGUUUUUAUAAAAAUCAAUAAAAAUAAAUAUAUAGAUAUAGAUAUUAUUAAAAAUUAAAUUAUAAAAUCAUUAAAAAAAAUUAUAUAAAAAAUUCUAAAAAUCCAUAAAAUGCAAAGUCAAAAUAAUACAUAAAAAUAGUGAAAAUUUUCAUCUAAAUUAGUUUUUUUAUAUAUGAGAAAAAUAUUUUGUACACUAUUAAUGGAGUUUUUAGACUCCACAAGUAAGAUCAAGGAGUUGACAAGUAAGAAAUAAAUAUUAAAAAAAAAAGACAUUGUUGUAAAUAUAUUAAAUGGAUGUCUAUAACCUUUAAACAUUUAUGAAAGUAAUGAGUUAAAACUCCUCAUUCAUUAUUAAAAAUGCUUAAUGUACGUGUUAAUGAAGCAAUUAAAUAAGCUUCAUUCAUUUAUGUUGCAUGAAAUAUCAAUGGCUUAUAUAUAACUCUUUUAUAAAUGAAAACAAGAGGCGAAAAAAUUCUCUCGUAUUUUUCAUCAACUUUUUACUUAUUAUUAUUAUUUUAUUAAUUUUUCUAUAACAUGCAUGACAAUUUUUUAAUGUUGCUUGUGGAAUAAAAAAAGAUAUAUUGAUGCCAGUGUACCAAAUACUAACCCUUUAUAUAUAUAUAUCAUAACAUAUAUUUAUUAUUUUAUCAAUUUUAUUUGUAAAAUUUCUCUUAAACUAGAUAGAGUCCCAAGACAAAUAGAGUCUCGGGACAAAUCUAAUAUUGAAGAAGUCAUAAGAGAGCAAAGCGAUGGCAUGAGUUGCAUUGAUCACUACAAAUAUGCCUUUGGAGUCAUUGUUGUAUUCUUCUCCCUGUACCCAUAAUUUAAUUUGAAAAAUUAAAAUGAAGAUCUCUUCAAAUGUUUUGUCUUGAGACAUUAUGAUGAAUAACCAAUUACUUGAAUUUUUAUAAUUUUAUAAUAUAUAUUUUAAAAAUUUUAUGACUUUUAUAUUUUUUAAUAAUUUGUAAAUAAUUUUUAUAAUUUCAUUUUUGGAAUUUUUAAUAAAUUUUAUAAUUAUUUAAAAUAUUUUGUGAUUUUUAGAUAAUAUUUUAAUAAUUUUUACUAACCACAUUCGGAAUGAAUUUGAAUAAAUGAAGAUGCAGAUAAACUUGGACACCUAUUUGUCAAGAUUCAUUAUUGAUGUGCAUUUUAAAAGAAAAUUAUGAUUUUUUUUAUUUUUUAAAUUCAUGUUGAUGUGGCAUAUUAUGUUAGCUUACUUUCACGUGGUAGGUCAUGUGUUAGCUUUUCAUUACUUUCAUUAAUCACAUUAGUAUCUUUUAAUGGUUAAAUUGAUGAAUGGUUGUUUAUGUUAGUAGAAGGUUCUAAUUAAUUUUUUUUUAUCAUUGAUUGAAUCGAGUGCACUUUUUCAAUAAAAACUUAAAAGGAUAUUUUGAUUUUUUAAUAUAAUAAGUAGAAAGUUUUUAAUUAAAAAUAUGAGGUAUUAUUAUACAUUCAAUUGUAGUUGGUUGGUUUUAAUUUUAAUUGAGUGCAGAUGUUGUUAUAGGGUAAAUUUUUAGAAGCAACAAUACGUUGGUUUGUAGGGGAAGUAAAAGUAAAAGUAAGAAUAGUUCCAACUUGUGUUGUCCAACUCCCAUACCAUACAAUGCUUUCCUUUAAAUGGACUCAUUUCAUCAACUCCUUUUAGAAAGAACAAAAAAUGCAGUCUUAAAUGGACUGAAAAAGAAUAUUAACAUACAAACAAUAUCAUUCUUAUGUUUGGACUCAUCUCUUCAUCACUUUCUUCUUAUGCUACUCACUUCUUUCACAGCUUGAGUUGGGCCAUCACCUGGUUCCUUAACCACCACGACAUAACAAAGCUAAGAAGUUCAUCAGAUGUCCCUCUGCCAACACAGUGAUGUCGGUGUUUGUUUCAGGGAAGAUACACUUGACGGUAAUACACUUGACACCAGGAUUAGUUCUCGAGACCAUGCAUAGCGAUUUCCUUAUAAAAGUGAUUGAUGUUGCAAAAAAAUGGCAUUGUCCUUCAUCUUCCUUAUGUGAAUAACCGUGAUUAUGUCCUUCAUCUUCAAGACUCCUUUAUUGAAGCAAUGGUUAGCAUGUAGCAAUCACAUGUUUUAUUAUUAUUAUUAUUAUUAUUAUUAUUUGGAUGUAAUGAUGUAACUUAGUUGUAUUCCAACUAAGUUUGUUAGUGGUAGUAGGUGGUGAUUUAUUUUAAGUGGAUGUAAUGAUGAAACUUAGUUGUAUUCCAACUAAGUUUGUUAGUGGUAGUAGGUGGUGAUUUAUUUUAAGUGGAUGUAAUGAUGAAACUUAGUUGUAUUCCAACUAAGUUUGUUAGUGGUAGUAGGUGGUGAUUUAUUUUAAGUGGAUGUAAUGAUGAAACUUAGUUCCAACUAAGUUGUCAAGUUGUAAGCUUGUAUAAAUAGGCUUUAUGCCAUUUUAAAAAAAAUGAAUGAAUUCAAUCAAGAUUUCAUCCAUAUACUCUCUAUUUUAGCUUUGCUUAAAAUUUAUUUCAUUUUUCUUCUUUGUUUCUGCCGCAAGUCUCGAUUCUUGCUCGGCAAGCUUUUUGUUGAACCUUGCUAUUUGUUGCACUUAGCUCCAACAAUUGGUAUCAGAGCCUAUUUCUUAAGGGAUCUGUUAUACAAAUUCAUGGCUUCAUCAAGCUUUUCACCAGCUGCACCUCAAGUCUUCAAUGGAGAAGGCUACCACAUAUGGGUGGUUAAAAUGAAGACCUACCUACAAGCUUUCGAUCUGUGGGAGGUAGUCAACUCAGAUGUUGAACCAGAGCCACUUAGAGGCAAUCCAACAGUGGCUCAAAUCAGGCAGCAUGCUGAUGAGAGGACCAAGAGGCACAAAGCCAUGUCUUGCAUCCAGAACUCAGUGUCAGAUGUGAUUUUCACAAGGAUUAUGGCCUGUGAAUCACCAAAACAAGCCUGGGAUAAGUUGCAAGAGGAGUUUCAAGGGACAGAGAGGACAAGGUAGCAACAGUUGCUGAACUUAAGGAGAGAUUUCGAAAAUUUGAAGAUGAAGGAAGAAGAAACUAUCAAGCAGUACUCUGACGGGAUUAUAGCUGUGGUUAACAGCAUAAGGCUCCUUGGAGAGCAGCUCAAGGAAGCUAGGAUAGUGGAGAAGGUUAUUGCAACUCUGCCCGAGAGGUAUGAGGCAAAAAUCUCAUCUCUCGAGGACUCAAGGGACCUGUACACCAUCUCCCUGACAGAGUUGAUCAAUGCUUUAUAUGCUCAAGAGCAAAGAAGAGCAAGCAGACUGAAGGAGCAUCAAGAAGGUGCCUUUCAAGCAAGAACAAACACUGCCUACAAAGGCAAGAAGGCCUGGAGAGACAAGCCAAGAACUGAUGUUGCAAGAAAAGAGGGUCAGACUUGCAAGCACUGCAGAAGGGCUGGUCAUCCAAAAGAAAAAUGCUGGUUCAAUCCAGAUGAUGUAUGUCAGCAUUGUAAAAAGAAGGGUUAUGUUGAGAGAGUCUGCAAGAGCAAGGCCAAAUCAAGGCAGAGUCAGUUUCAACAGAAGAAAGCUGAGGCUCGAGUAGCUAAGGAGGACAGUGACCAAGAGGAGCAAGUCUUUGCUGUGUUAUGCUCAGCUGCUCAAGAAAGGUUCUCAUCUGGUUGGCUUCUAGACAGUGGAUGCACCAACCACAUGACACCUGAUGCUGCAAUCUUCAAGUCUUUAGACAGAAGCUGCAGAACUAAAGUCAAGAUAGGAAAUGGACAUUUUAUUCAAGCUGAAGGUAAGGGUGAUGUGCUGAUAUGCACCCCCACAGGUGCCAAAGUGAUUUCAAAUGUGCUUUUGGUGCCUGAAAUUGACAGAAACCUGCUCAGCAUAGCUCAGUUGCUGGAGAAAGGUUAUUCUGUUGUGUUCAAAGACAAUCAAUGCCAAAUCAAUGAUCCAAGUGGAUCCAAGCUGAUGGCAGUUCCUAUGGCUAAUAAGAGCUUUGUAGUUGACUGGAGCAGGGAGUCAGACAUUGCCUACACAGUCACAUCAGAUGAAUCCAAGCUUUGGCAUCAAAGACUGGGACAUGCCAACUUCAGAUCGAUGGCUUGAAUGGUCAGAGAGGACUUGGCUGAAAACUUCAUCAACUCAGUGGAUCAUGAUGAUGUGUGUGAAGUGUGUCAGCUAGGAAAGCAGGCCAGACUCCCAUUUCCCUCGAAUCAAGCCUGGAGAGCCUCUGAAAAACUCCAACUGGUGCACACUGAUGUGUGUGGCCCUAUGAGGACUGAGUCAUUAAGUGGAAACAGGUACUUCAUACUGUUCAUUGAUGAUUUUUCAAGAUAUUGCUGGCUUUACUUCCUAAAACAGAAAUCAGAGGCGGCCUCAGUGUUUUGGAAGUUCAAGACUGCUGCUGAGACUGAAACAGGUUGCAAGCUGAAGUCCAUAAGGUCUGAUAAUGGGACUGAGUACACCUCAGCUCAGUUCCAAGCCUUCUGUGAUAAGGCAUGCAUCAAACAUCAACUUACCAACACAUAUACACCUCAGCAAAAUGGUGUAAGUGAAAGGAAGAAUAGGAGUUUGAUGGAUAUGGCCAGGUGCUUGAUGAUUUAGAAGAAUCUGCCUAAAGCACUAUGGGCAGAGGCAGUUAACACUGCAAACUACAUUCAAAAUAGGCUUCCAACCAAGGCCUUGGAUCAGAAGACUCCAUUCGAAGCCUGGUUUGGAUUCAAGCCAUCACUGGCUCAUCUGAAGGUCUUUGGAUGCAUCUGUUAUGCUCAUGUACCUGCUGUCAAAAGGGACAAAUUGUCUGAAAAGGCUCGACCUGGUAUUUUGGUGGGCUACAGCACUGUUAAGAAGGGCUAUAGGAUCUUGGAUCCUUCAACAAAGAAAGUGUCAGUCAGUAGGGAUGUGGUAUUUGAUGAAAAGUCAUGUUGGAACUGGGAAAAACAUGAACCUGAGGAAGUUUCAGAAGGACUUGCAGCAGAUCAAGCUGAGCCAGAUCAAAAUGUUCCUGAAAUGGACAUUGAUGAUGAACCAGUUAGAGGAACAAGACCAUUGACUGAGAUUUAUGAAAGAGCUCAUGUAGCCAUAGCUGAACCAAGCAAUUUUGAAGAGGCUGAAGCUCAGCAAGAGUGGAAGCAGGCAAUGGCUGAGGAGAUUAGCAUGAUUGAGAAGAACCAGACCUGGGAAUUAGUUGAAAGGCCAGUCAAAAAGAAGAUAAUUUGGGUGAAAUGGGUGUACAAAGCCAAGCAAAAUGCUGAUGGUACCUUGAACAAACUGAAAGCAAGGCUAGUUGUCAAGGGGUUCAGUCAGAGGUAUGGCCUGGACUACUUGGAGACCUUUGCACCAGUGGCCAGGCUAGACACUAUCAGAUUACUGAUUGCCUUAGCAGCACAGCUCGAGUGGAAGAUCCAUCAACUCGAUGUGAAAUCAGCCUUUCUGAAUGGUUUCUUAGAUGAAGAGAUCUAUGUUGAACAACCACAAGGGUUUGAGAUAGCUGGCAGAGAGCAUAUGGUCUACAAACUGAAGAAGGCCCUAUAUGGCUUAAAACAGGCUCCAAGGGCCUGGUACAGCAGAAUCGAUGGCUACUUAACUAAUUUGGGAUUCGAUCGAAGCAAGAGUGAGCCAACACUGUAUGUCAAGAAGCAAGGGACACAAACACAGCUCAUUGUAUCCCUAUAUGUUGAUGACCUGCUGGUGACAGGAGGAGAUCGAGCAGUGCUGGUCGAUUUCAAGACCAAGAUGCAAGAAGUAUUUGAAAUGUCUGAUCUAGGGGAAAUGUCUUAUUUCCUUGGAAUGGAGGUGACUCAAACACAAAAUGGGAUAUUUCUAAGUCAGAGAAACUUUGCCACAAAGAUUCUGACCAAGUUCUCCAUGCAAAAUAGUAAAGCAACUAAAACACCUGUUGCUGUUGGAGAAAAACUAUCGAGCCAAGGUGAUUUUGAGAAGGUUUGUGAAACAACCUACAGAAGUCUAGUUGGUUGUCUGUUAUAUUUAACUGCCACUAGACCAGACAUAAUGUAUGCUGUAGGAUUGCUCUCAAGGUUCUUGCAUUGUUGCAAUAAAAAGCAUUUACAAGCUGCUAAGAGAGUGCUUAGAUAUGUCAAAGGCACUUUGAGCUAUGGUUUAAGGUACAGCAAGGAAGGAAAUCUGAAGCUGGUUGGCUACACUGAUAGCGACUGGGCUGGCUCGAUAGAUGACAUGAAAAGCACCUCAGGGUAUGCUUUCAACCUUGGUUCAGCCAUGUUUUGCUGGAGCUCGAAGAAGCAAAGUCUGGUGGCUCAAUCUACUGCUGAAGCAGAAUAUGUGGCAGCUGCAAGUGCUGUCAACCAAGCCAUUUGGCUAAGGAAAAUCUUAGCUGAUUUGAAAGUGCAUCAAAAGGAAGCUACUGAGAUCUUCUGUGACAACCAAUCUUCAGUUGCAAUUGCUAAAAAUCCAGUGUUCCAUGGAAGAACAAAGCAUUUCAGCAUCAAGUUGCAUGUUGUUCGAGAAAUGGAGCAAGCUCAGGAAGUGAAGCUGAUCCAUUGUAAUUCUGAGGAUCAACUUGCAGACAUUUUGACUAAAGCCCUUAAUGUCACAAGGUUCGAAUGUCUAAGAAGGAAGCUAGGUGUUUGCUCCAUGCAAACCAAGGAGGAGUAUUGAAGCAAUGGUUAGCAUGUAGCAAUCACAUGUUUUAUUAUUAUUAUUAUUAUUAUUAUUAUUAUUAUUAUUAUUAUUAUUUGGAUGUAAUGAUGUAACUUAGUUGUAUUCCAACUAAGUUUGUUAGUGGUAGUAGGUGGUGAUUUAUUUUAAGUUGAUGUAAUGAUGAAACUUAGUUGUAUUCCAACUAAGUUUGUUAGUGGUAGUAGGUGGUGAUUUAUUUUCUUAGUUGUAUUCCAACUAAGUUUGUUAGUGGUAGUAGGUGGUGAUUUAUUUUAAGUGGAUGUAAUGAUGAAACUUAGUUGUAUUCCAACUAAGUUUUCAAGUUGUAAGCUUGUAUAAAUAGGCUUUAUGCCAUUUUAAAAAAAAUGAAUGAAUUCAAUCAAGAUUUCAUCCAUAUACUCUCUAUUUUAGCUUUGCUUAAAAUUUAUUUCAUUUUUCUUCUUUGUUUCUGCCGCAAGUCUCGAUUCUUGCUUGGCAAGCUUUUUGUUGAACCUUGCUAUUUGUUGCACUUAGCUCCAACAUCCUUCCAUUAGAGCUGUAAGGGCACAAAUAGAACUGAUCUCAUUGACGAUGAUGCGAGCAUGAGCUUGCUGCAACGCAUCAGCGCAACCCUUGCGAACAUCACAAUAACCACAGAAGAACAGCAUCCUUGCCAGCAAUCGUGACAUCAGUAGCUCUCAUCGAACCAUCAGGAAAAGAAUGAUGGCAUCCAUGCAAGUUAUUGAACUGUUCAAAAAGAUCAAAUCACUGCAACAAUUAGAUCGGAAUACAGAAAUUACAGUAAAAACCACAAUUAGAUCAGAAAACCCAUAUGAAUACAACCCUUCAAAUACAUGAAAAAAAACGUAUCAAAAUAUUGAAGGUGACAGUCACACAGUCGACAUGCCAGUCAUAAUGCAAACUAAUAAAAGCUGACUACUUUGCUUUUCAAUAAAAAAAACAAAUUCUUGCAUUAUUUCUUAAAAUCAAGAUCUAAGAAUAAGUUUAACCAAACUUACAACACAAUAACAGUGAAACCAGAGCAAGCAAACACCCAAUUUGCAUCAAUUUACCCAAAAAAAAUUGUCAUUUCUAAAUCAUUUUCAUCUAAUCUGUAAGAAAAAUACACCAGAUCCAUCAAGUAAAGUGUUGUAAGGUAAAGCAGAAAUAAAGUUGGGAAAAUUGUACCUAGCUCUCGAUGACAAAGACAUAGACAUUAUAGCUUCCUUUAUGAACAAGGACUUCCGUUGUCUACGACUACACCAUACUGUACUGAUGAAAUUAGCUUCCUUAUCCCUAAAACUUUAUGUAAAAAAGUUCAUUUAAUGGGAUAGUCAUUUAAAACAUUCAAACUCAUAACUCAUGUUUACCUCAAAUACAACUCAUUCAUCGAAUCACCAAGAUGCCAUCUAGUUUGGUCCCUGCACUAUAUUGUAAUUAAGUGAUAGUGGAAAUAAGAGAUUUUACAUAGAUAUCUACAAUUUAUAAUUUCUAUUAUCAACAUAUCAAACCAAUAACUAAAAUAUUAUAAUUAUUAAGUAUUCUAGAAUGCUUACCAAAUAACAUUGGAACUUCUGUUUUGAUGGAGUCACCUAGAUCUUUUCCAUUUCCGAAUAAAACUAGCAAUCCAUUUGUUUCCAAACUCAUUCAGCACUGUAUAUCCAAUAGAAAAUCCAAUCACCAAUCCACAUCCAAACCCCAUCAACACGACUUUCCAAACAGAUAAACCAUCUAUCCACGAAUCUUCACCCUCCUUUGGUGGCAGCAUUUGCGAACCAACUUCAUUGCAUUUCUUUGUCAAAGGAACCCCACAAAAUCUUGGGUUUGCUAUGUAGGAAUCAUUUAAAAAUGUACCAAAUUGGUUGCUUUGUGGUAUGCUUCCCUCAAGUUGGUUGUAAGAGAGAUUCAGCGCUGCAAGAAAAGUAAGGCUUGUAAGCUGUGGAGGAAUCUUCCCGAAGAGUUUGUUGCAGGAGAGAUCCAAUGACUCAAAAUCUGUUAAGCUUCCUAAUGCUGAAGGAAUGGAGUCAAAGAAGCUGUUGUAGGACAAGUUUAGCACAUGGAGUGACUUGAGGUCUUGUAUUUCUUCUAAUAUUCUCCCAUGGAAGUUAUUAUAGGAGAGGUCAAUUAAUUUCAAACCCUUUAUUCACAAUUGUCACUGAAUCUUGAUAAUAAGAAUUAUCUCCAACAUAACUUGGCUUAGAUUUGUUGCCGUCAAUCACCAUCAUUGCCCUCAAAGAUUGAAAAAAUUCAACAGAUACCUCACCCGAAAAGUUAUUGGAAGCAAGAUCCAGUAUAUGUAACAUUGGGAAAACAUUUCCAUCUCCGGAGAAAUGAAUUGAACCAUAAAAUUUGUUGGAUCUUAGUAUAAGAACCAUCAAAGAAGGCAAUUUCACUAACCAGUUAGGAAAAGUGUCAUGAAUCAUAUUUUUCCUAACAUCCAAAACUUCAAGCUUUUGGCAAUUGGCUAAUGACCUUGGCAACUUCCCUUCUAAUUUGUUCCCACCGAUUUUGAGUGACCUUAGCUGAUGAGUGGCAUGAAAGAAUUUAAUUGAUAAUUGACCAGAAAAGUUAUUAGAAGCAAUGUCUAAUACAUCCAAUACUGGAAAAUUAUUUUCCAAAUGUUUAAUUGGACCAUAAAACCUAUUUGCUUGCAGUAUAAGAACCGUCAGGCCAGGCAAUUUUCCCAACCACAAAGGGAAUGUGUCGUGCAGAGUAUUGUUUUCGAGGUUUAAAACAUAGAGCAUUGUGCAAUUGGCUAAUGACCUCGGCAACUUCCCUUCCAAUUUAUUGUCAUUGAGUUGAAGAGUGGACAGUUGGGUUGCUCCUCCAAAAUCUGGUAUGCUGCCACUGAAAUUAUUUUGCUGUAGAUCUAAAUACUCAAGACUACUGAUAUUGCCUAAGCAACUUGGGAUUGAGCCACUCAAUUCGUUGAAGGAUGCUUUAAACCUCCAUAGAUGACUCAAAUUACAAAUAGGUAUUUGUAAAGAGUCUUGAUUGGAUGAAAAUUGGUCCAAAGAUGUUAGAGAAUUGUUGGAAAGAUCCAAAUAUUGCAAACUUUUCUUCCACACCCAAUUUGGUACGGCCCCGCUUAUUUGGUUGUUUGAAAGGUCAAGUUCUUCUAAGCUCUCUUGACUCUUUAGAAAUGCUGGAAACGUACUUAUAUUACAGGAUCUCAAACGCAACGAAAUCAGCAUUGGAAAGGAGGAAUUUGCAUCAUCAAAAGGAAACUGAUUCGGAAUGUCAAUCGCAUUGGAAGAAAGGUCUAAUAUUUCAAGUGUGCUCUUCCACAACCAAUUUGGUACUGCCCCGCUUAUUUGGUUAUUUGAAAGGUCAAGUUCUUCUAAGCUCUCUUGACUCUUUAGAAAUGCUGGAAACGUACUUAUAUUACAAGAUGCCAACAACAAAAAUCUCAGCAUUGGAAAGGAGGAAUUUGCAUCAUCAAAAGGAAACUGAUUCGGAAUGUCAAUCGCAUUGGAAGAAAGGUCUACCGAUAUAAGUGUGCUCUUCCACAACCAAUUUGGUACUGCCCCGCUUAUUUGGUUAUUUGAAAGGUAAAGAUAUUCUAAGCUCUCUUGACUCUUUAGAAAUGCUGGAAACGUACUUAUAUUACAAGAUUCCAAAAACAACGAUCUCAGCAUUGGAAAGGAGGAAUUUGCAUCAUCAAAAGGAAACUGAUUCGGAAUGUCAAUCGCAUUGGAAGAAAGGUCUAAUAUUUCAAGUGUGCUCUUCCACAACCAAUUUAGAACAAGACCGUGGAUUCGGUUGUUAGAAAGAUCUGGGUCAGUCAACUUGUUUUGGCUUUUGAUGAAUUCAGGAAAUUCAGUAAGGUUGCAUGACCUUAGGUAUAGAGACU